GGGGGGGGGGUGGUAGAAUGUGGUUCACGGGCGUAGAAAGCACGUGGGGAUAUGCAUGUGCAUGUGAAUGAGAUGGCUUUAUCUUGAUAAAGGGAAAGGAAGGUAGGGCUUUGAUACUGAGAUGUCAUGUCACUCACAUUUCUAACCCUUCUCUCUCUCACUGCGUAAAUGAAAUUGAAAGGGAUAACUGCUCACUCGACCUUUAUUAAAGCCGCUCUAACUUGUCUUGUUUUAUUUACUUAUUCAUCCCCCAAAACAAGACAAUGAAGUGAAAGACCCUCGAGACUCAUGCCGGCAACCUUCCACUGAAUCACAAUUACAACACCACUUUUUUGCUUUUUUAUUUAUAAAAAUAACAUCAUAUGGGUUGUUUUGUUUGUUUAAAACGCCCGGUUUUAUCGUACUCUUAACCCGAUGCCUAAUGUCUUCCUUACAAUGACUGUUCAUCCCCAUGCACUCACAUACGUUAAAAUUUUCUCUCCCACUACAUUCCAAAUUUAUUGAAUUAUUGUUAAUAUAGAAAGUGGAUUUCGGAGAAAUAAUUAAGUAGGAUAAUGGAAUUUGUUUUCAUUAAUAAGUCUAACUAAGGAGUUCAUGCUCAUUUUAACAUUACAUUAAACUUGAAUUCUUACUAUUUCGGCUCAAUAAAACAUAUUUCCUAUGGAAAUACAACAAUUAUUGUUUUUGAGUUUUUGAAUUUUAGAUUCAUCAAUUUGUUUAUAUUCAAACCUGUUUUAGGUUUUAAAUGAUAGGUAGCAUUGUUACCAUACUUGUUUGAAUUACACGUGUUUGUUACAUUUUCUUUUGUUGUUUUUUUUUUUUUUUUGCUUUUAAUGCAUAAUUCUAAUUUCAAACAUAAUAAUUUAAAGUACUACUGAUAUAGUAUACCCAAUAUUUUAUCUAAUAACUUAAUCUCAAAAAUCUUAACAUAAUUAGAUUAUUUUUAAUUCGAGCUAACUUUUUAUGAUGAGAAAUAAUAAUAUGUAACUUUCUUAUUAUCUAACAUUUUAAACUAAUUUUACUUAUCUUUUAUGUUUAAGGCUUAUCUCUUUUGGUCAUGUUGCCAUGCGUAUUGCAUUUUGAAGAGAAAGACUCAAGUUCAAAUUUUGAAGACAAUAUUAUUGAAAGGGACAACCAUAAACCUUACAAGAAUUAAUCUUUAUAAAUUUUAAAAUUGAUUAAAAAAAGUGACUUUGAUCUUAUUUUAUUUUCAUCUUUUAUUAACAAUAAUAUGAUACAAAAUGAUAUUUAUGUCUUAUCAUAUUAAUGGUGUUUAGGUUUUUUUUAAAAUAUUUUUAUUAUCAAACCAUUUGUUUUUUUUCCCUACAUUUAGUAUUAUAUGUAUUUAAUAAAAGAAUUUGAAAAAUUGAAAAAUUAAGUAGUAAAUUGAAUUUGCAUUAUAAAAUUAGUUGAUAAGUUAGUAAAAUUAAGCGUUGAAUAUAAUUAUUUUGUUUGAUGAUAAUAAUUUUUUAUUUUUGAAAUAAUUUUAAUUUUAUCAUAUGGUAUUAUUUAUUUUGUUUUGAAUAGUUUUGGAUAAAAUAUAAAGAUAACAAUUUUAAUAUUUUAAUUUUUAAUAAAACAAGAAAAUAAUUGAUUUAAAAAAUAAGGAUUUGAAAAAUAAAAUCUAACUUAAUAUUCUUGACAUUAAGUUAUAAGUAGCUAUCUACUCACUUAUCAUAUUCAACAUUAUUUUUUGUUGAAAAUUUUAUAUUAAGUAAAAAUUUAAUAUGGUUAUUAAACACAAUUAAAAAAAAUUAAAUAUUGAAAUUUUUUAUUUUCAAUUAAAUGAAAAUUUUUAAAUGGUUAAUCAAAUUUGGGUGAAGGAUUUACAUUUGGGGUUUUAUUUAGAUCAAAAUUUUCAAAAUUCUAAAAACUAAUUUAGGGUAAAUAUAUUAGAGAUGUUCAAAUUAUGUGAGUAUUUUUAAAAGGGGAUUUCGGUAGCUCAAUUUCUUUUUUAAAAUUUCACCUAAAGAGGUAGUUUUUCAAAAUUCUUCAUAUUUUUUUUUAUUUACUACACACGUUUUAAUUAUAAAAUAAAAAAUUAAUUUUUCAAAAAUCAUUUUUAUUUAAUUCUAAUAUAUAUUUUUUUAAAAAUUUAUUUUAUUAAAACUAUUUAUAAAAAAAUACAAACAUAGUGAUGCACAUAACAAAAUGUUGAAUCUAAUCCAUUAUUCAUGUUUGUUUUGAUUUCUUUAUUUAUUUGAGGUUAUUUGCAAACUCUAUAAUAUUACUUGUUGAUUUUUGUUUCUUGGUUGCAAGACACUAGGAUCAGUCUAGAGCUUCCCAUGCACCAUCAAUUUGUUUAUUGAACUUGAAGAAACUUCAAAUUCACUCGGGAAUUUGUGGACGCUAGCACUACCCUCUAUCAUAUUUAUAUUGGAUUAGGUUAAUCGUUUCUUUUGAUUUGCUUAUCCUACCUUAAGUUGAGACAACAUUACAAGCCUAAAAGCCUUAUCAAUCUCGGAAGCUGCACUAAAGUAAUAAGGUGGAGUUUAGAAAAGGUUAGUAUGUAUACUUAGCUAAGUCUAUUUCUACCUUUCAUUAUCUUGUUCUAUUUGAACUAUGGUGAUUGGUUACACAACUUAAGCACACAAACACCAAGCAUUGAUGUCUUGAAUCUUUUCAGCACCAUCACUUAUCGCUGUUUCUUCCACAUUUAUAUCACCAUUCUUAUUUCAUUAAUAAGCCUACUAACGAUCUUUAGGCUUUAUGAUAAACUCCUGGUUCCUAAAGUUAUUUUUCAUGCACUAACAGUCAUCUUUGUUACAUAUUGUUUGAUUUCUUAGUAGUUUUGCUUAGGGACAAGGGGGAAUAUGAUGAGUGUAUAAUUUAACUAUAUUUUAAAUCAUUUUUCAUUUUAGUUUUAGCUUGUUUUGGGGUGAAUUCACUUAUUUAUUAUGGUCAAUUAAGUGUUUAGGGUAGAAUGUAGAUUCAGUAGCUAUUUUACUUUGAUUUUUAGUGUUUCUAAUGUUUUAAGUUAUGGUUGAGCCUAAUUGCAGUUCUUUGGUGAAGGUAAUGACUUGACCUAUAAUGUGCUUUUAGAAGUUGCAAUUUUGGGGGCCAACGUUGCAAUGUUGAGCGAAUGUCAUGAUAUUGCUAAACAGAAAUCAAUGUCACAACGUUUUAAUGAUUUUAAUUAAACUUUAUUGAGCGGAUUAUUCCAAGGGACCUUACAAAAAGAAGAGACAAUGUUGCGACGCUAUGCAAAUUACAAGGUUUUAAUGCAAGGUAAAAAUGACUUUUCCAACACUGAAAUCCUACCAUAUAAAUGGUUCAUUUUCGGUUGUUUUAGCAGAGAAUUUUUGGAGUGCAACAAAGGUUUUUCUUUAGUUUUCUCUUUUGAAAGUUUUUCUCUUAAUUCUUUUAAGUUUUCUUUAGGUUUUCUUCUUAGUUAUGGUUUAAUUUAUUUCUCUUUUUGUAAAUAUAUUUAUAUUAAUAUCAAAUUGGUCGAAAAAAUCAAUUGUAAGAGGUUUUAAUUGUUGGGCAUUCGACAUUUUAGAGUUUCUACUAUAUAUUUGAAUAUUUAUUUUUGGUAUAAAAAGAAGGAUUAAACCAUAACUAAAUUAUGUGGAGUCAAGACAUUUCAAAAUAAUCAUCAUGUAGUAAUAGAAAUAGAAAGACUUUACUUAACGGUUGUAUAAAGAAAUACUUUGAAAACGCCAUUAAAAUUAACUCAUCUACUACUUUCUCUCAUCUUUUUACAUUUUGCAAUAUUCUGUAGUUGAAUUUUGUGUUUAUUUUGAUUAUGUGGGCCAUUGAUUUUCUCUGUGGUUAGUGAUGAGAUGAUUGGGUGAUUGGCUUCUUGUGAUUUACUUGCUAAUUAGGAGAACUUAUUACCGCUAAGGAGGGACAACUCUAUGUUGGGUUGGUGUAGAGAAGAUUUUGCACAUUUACUACAAUCGUCUAAUUUGCACACAAAGCACUGAAUUCGAGAGAUGAAGUGAAUGGUAGCCCAAAAUUAACGAGAGCUAGGAGUUAAAAGGUGAUUUCUAUGUGAGAACCGUAUAGAGAGAGCUUAGGGGAUGUGAGUAGUAACCAUAUAAUUAGAAGCAACGAGUCUUGGUUCAAUCGUUAAAUCACUAACUGCACCAUACAAUUAUUCAUUCUUCAAAUUUCACUUAAAAAUGAAUUUUUUUUAUUAAAUUUCUCAUAAUCUUAUUUCAUUUAGUAAAAUUAGUCCCAAUAUAUAUAUAUAAAAAAAAACUUAAACAUUAGAAUAUCAUUUUUAUUUAAAAUUUAAAAGUUUAUAUCAUUAAAAAUUGUUUAUGAUGUUUAAAACUAUAAAAAAAAAGUGUUAUUAUAAUUUAUGAUUAUUGUUGAUAUAAAGUGAAAACAUAAAAAAUAAUUUGACAAUAUAAGUAAACUACUAUGAAUUUUUAUAUAAAAAAGGUGAAGAUUAAAUUAACCCAAAAAAGGGUAUUUUUUAGGUGUAAAUUAAUAAUGAACUGAAAGAGUGGAAGGGGACAAAGACAAAAAGUGCCAUAACUACAAAGAAAGCAUGUCCGUCGCUUUUCACAAAGUAGCAAGUCUAUGGAUAUAAAAGUGACACAUACAUCAAUUUUUUAUGGAUAAAAUUAACCUUAAAAGCGGCUACUUCAUCAUCAUUUAAUUAGAGGAGAAUCCCCUCACUCUUUCUAUCCUUUAUUUACUAAAUCAUUUUUCAUUAAAACAAUACAAUAUAUAUAUCAUUUCAAAUUAAAAUUAAAUAUUGUCUUUAAAUUAAAAUUAAUUAGUUAAUAAACGAUUAUUUACUAAAAUAUCCAUAUCAAAAUUAUUUAUGUAAAAUAUUAAAUUCCUUUUCAUUUCUCUAUUUCCAUAUUUAUUAUUCUCUUUCCUUUCUCGUAUUUGAUUCUCUAUUUUCCUUUUCCAUUCAAAUUUCCCUUCUUUAUUUUAUUUUAUUUCCCUUCUUUUUUUCUCAAUUGAAAACCUAGUUAUUGUAUUCAAUAGCCACCAAUGUUGUCAUUUACAGCGACUUUUCAUGUCGAUUUCGAUACUAAAGAAGAGAUUUCCUCCUUCUUGUUUACUUCUACGGUUCAGACGACUUAGUAGCCGGCUCCAAAUCUUCUAAAACAAUGACCAAAUCUUCAAACUAAUACUGUUUUACAAUGAUUUUUAAAAAAAACCACUGUUGUCGCUUGACACGACUACGACACCUAAAAAAUAUAUUUUUUAAAAUUUUUAACAAGUGAUCCCUGACAUACCGAUGACACCUAUUUUUUUUUUUUGAAAAUUUCUCCGAUGCCACCUGAUAGACCAACAACACCCAUUAAAAAAUAUUUUUUACUUUUUUUUCCUCCCUGAAUACUCGUAUUUUUAACGAGUAGUUUGAAAAUUAUAUAUUGGUGCUGCUUGACACAAUGGUGACACCCAAAAAAGUUAAUAUUUUUUUAAAAAGCCAAUGAUUGACUAAUGAUGAGAGGGAAAUGUUGUCAGCCUGUUAGGCGGUAUCGAUGACCACUGUGGAGAACAAGUCAUUUACGUACAUAAGUUUUGACUUGAUCAUUUUCGUAAAUAAUUAAUUGUUUUGAGCUAGUUAAUGAAAAAUAACUAAAUUAAAAUAAAGAAAUAAAAAAGAAAAACGAGAAAGAGAAUUCAUCUCAAAGUUAACGAAUACAAUUAAAUUAAAAAUUAAAUAGGUAUCAUGUGGUACUUUUUUAAUUGAUAUAAUAACAAUUUUAGUCCUCAAAUUUCAUGCUUUCUAUCAAUUUGACCCUAAUUAUAUAUAAUAUAAUAAAAAAACUCAAUUACUUAAAAAAUAAAAUUUUUGUUCUUUUUAACGAAAAAAAAGCUAUCUAAAAAAACCGAAUAGGUAAAAAAAUAAAGAAUCACUAAUUUUGCUUAAUGUUUUUAACAAAAAUGAGUAUUGAAUAUUUAUAUGCAGAUAAUACAGAACGAAAAUUUGAAGGGUUUAAAAACAAAUUUCCCACAUUUUUCUAGCUUUAUCUCUUUUUGAAAAUUUAUUUGCUUCUAUUUUAAUUUUUAAAAUUUUAUAAAUUAAAAAAAAUCAAUUUUUAUCAUUUUAUAUAUCAUGAAUAAUUAGGGUCAAAUUGAUAGAAAAUAAAAAAUGGAGAACUAAAAUUAUUAUCAUACCAACUAAAAAAUACCACUUAAUAGUUAGAUGACCAAAAAACAAGUUCUACAACUUUAGUGAUAGAAUUAUAACUUUUUUUAAUUAAAUGAUCAAAAUAAAAAUUUAUUAAUAAUUUAGUGACUAAUAAUAUGGUUUACCCAUAGUGUAAUUUGUUGAGCUUUGUUUAUCAAUUGAUCAUGUGAUAAGGAUAGAUAAAACCCAAUGCGACUCGUUAAAUCAGCCCACAUCAAAUUAUCUUUUUGCGUUUGGUAGUUAAAAGAUUAAACUAAUGGGAAAAUAAUGAUCUAAUUUUCUAAUAAAAGUAUAAAAUAUACGAAUAGGGUACUAAUAAAUAAAUAUUUCAAAAUUUAUAUGAUUAUAAAUUAUUUUAAUUAUGAUUUAUAAUAUAAGAAAUUCAUAAAUUAACAUGUUUAAGAAAAUAAAUAUUUUUUAUGAAAUGUGAUUUAUUAAAAGUGGAUAUAUUUGCCCCUACUAAGAGUUCUAUUUCUCAACAUCAAGAAUAAGACUUGAUCUGUCUGUCGAUUUUUACGGAGAAAAUAUCAUUAAAUUUAAUUAUUUGCAUUCAGUUAAAAAUAUUAUAAUAUUAAAAAUAAAAAUAGAGUCAAAAUUAUUUGGGUUGAGGGGUGUUUUUGUUUCUUGUAAAAUAUUUGUUAAAUAGAAUGAUAAAAGUUUGGGUUAGUAGUAGUAGUAGUAGCCCCUUGGGCUUAUAGCAUAGACGUUAGAGGAUUAGUACUAAUCAUAGGUUUCGGCUUAAACUUUAUUAACUUAGCCUUUAGACGUCAUUUGGUUUGCCAAUUGCUAUUGGGUUUAAAGUUUUAAUUAACAAUCUCAUAAUUCACUUAUUAUUAUUAUUUUAUCUAAUGAAUUUUAAUCUACAUCAUUUUUUAUUCUAAUGACCAAUUAGGUAGUGCAUUGUAACAACUAAAAAAAACAAAAAGGGAAGAUGAAUAUAAAUGAGGAGGAAGACUUCUAUUUAUAGUUAAGCUCUCUUCAAUUCAACAAUACAAUUUAAAUUACAUUAACAACUAAGAUUAAUAUCUAUCUAUAAUAUUUACCCUACUAACUCUAAAUUAGUGGUUUUUUUUUUUUUUAUGUUUCACGAAUUGAAUUAAUUCAAGUGAAUUAAAUAAGCCCAAUUUAAUCCAUUGACCUCCUUGAAUUAUUCUGUGUGCUACGAAUUGUGACAUAAACAUAUAGGAAGCCCACAUAACUCAACUAUUAGUCCUCUGUAAAUCUCAAUUAGAAAUCAUCUAUUCCUCUUUUAAACUCAAGAAACCUCACCAACCUCCAACCUCAACCAUUUUUAUAUAUUUAUAAUUAAAAUUUAUAUUAUAAUAUUUUCAUAUCAAUUUAAACUCAAAUGUAUUGUAAUCAAAGUGAAAUCAACAUUAAAAAACAAGAUUUAACUUGGUUUGGCUCUAAUAUUAUUGAUUACAGAAAAUCUUUAUUCCAUAAUAUUUGUUUCUAAUAUAAAUAUGUACUUAUUAAACCAAUAAAAUUACAUUAAAUACUAAUUAGAAUUUGAAUAAAUAUGUGACAUGUGAGAAGAGGAUGUAAGACGUAAAUGAAAGCUGGUACUGUUGGUUUUGAAGUGAAAUUUAAUUCUUCAAGCCUCUGGGAAUUGUUGGGAUAUUAGGGUUAUGUUUGGUGGAAGGUCAAUUACUGGGGACGCUUAGGUGGGCGGCACUUCAAACUUGUGUUGGAGAAGGAAUAGCCAGCCACCCUGCUUUCCCAUUUCUGCUCCUCAGUUUUUUGUUUUCAUUUCCCUUUUGCUCCCUCUAUCGCCUACAUUUCUCUAUCCAUGUUCUUUCCUUUCCUCCUCCCAAAAACAAUAUUUUGUUUUGGAUCCAUUUCCACUAUAUUUUCCACUCAAGUAAAAAAAUUAGUUAUUUAACCAACCCAACUUCAUUUUUUUUUAUCAAAUUAGACUUCUGAUAUAUUUUGCAUUUACUAUAGUAUAUUUGGUUUUAAAUCUUCCCGAAAUCAUAUUGAAUUCUGAUUAAAUUUGAAGUAAAACAAAAUUCUUCUAACAUUAUUUUCUCCAUUCACAAGACUCAAACUGAACAUAAAAUCAUAAGAUAAAAUUCUAAACUAAAUUUUAAGUGUGAUUUCAUCAGAUUUCCAUGUUUAAUUUAUGAUUUGUGAUUCAAACUUAUAUUCUCUUCUUAAGAAUUCAAAGUCUCAUCUAUUGGACCCAACACUUAUUACCAUUCAUUUAAUUGAAUGCUAUGCUGGCUCCUGGCUGUGGCUGAGAUGGAAAAGAAAAACUUAAGUAGUUUGUUAAUGAUUGGGCCAAAGUGGGUACCUAUGUUUCACAAGUUCGUCCUACUUUCCGGUCGGUAUAAACUGUAAAGCAGUUGUAAUUGUAAACCACUAUCGGGCAAAUGGGCCGAUAUGUUUUCAAUGUAAUAUAAAGAAGUGGGUCUGCCUCCCAGACUUUGUGUUUUGUCGGACGUGGUUUGGACAUUUGCUGCUGUCACCAGUCUUGUCCUUUUCAUCUUCACACUACACAUUUCCAUUUAUACCAAUAUGGAAUUAUAUCGUCAUUAUCUUAAUGGUUUUGGGUUUUUCUAUACCAAUAUAUAUAUAUAUAAAAGAAAUUGUUCGGUUUGGAUUUUAUUUUAUAAAAUUUUAGUCUUUAAAAUUAUAAAAAUAAUACAUCAUUUCCAAAUAUAUAUAUAUAUAUCAAAUUGUUGUUACAAGAGAAAAGCAUUAAGACAUUUUAUGGAUCAAAUGGGUCCAUAUUUAUUUGUCUCUGUCUCAUGAGUAAGGUCAUCUAACAUUGCAUGUUUACAGUUAAAACAAGUAAGAUUUGAUGGGUGAAAGAAGUAGGUACUUGAAUGAAGACUCUACGAAGGGAUUGGGUUAGGAAUGGCGGGAUGCGAUGGUUCAUGGGGUGGUAGUUUGUUUUGAAUUCAUAAGCAUGCGGUUGGGUUAGUAGGUGACUAGAUCGUGGUAUCGUAACAUGUUGAUGUUCUGAAACUACGUGAUGAUAAUGCAAAGCAAUAGUGAUCCUACACAUCUCACCAUUUUCUUUCAUUGCCUACCUUCUUGUUUUAAGUGUUGGGUUCCAAAGAAAAAACACAUCACCUUUCUGCAAUGGUGGAUGGCCUUUUUAGAGUUCAACCCAUUGGGCCCAUCAUUUCCUUUUCUAAUUACAUAUUUCAUAUGGUCAAGAAGCAAAUCUCUAAUUAAUUUUAAUUAUAUAUAAAUAUUUAAAUUUGAUAAAUUUACAAUUAGAGUCCAAUUAAUUUGAGAAUAUGAAAUUUCCCAUCAAAAUUUGAAACUUUAUAAUUAUUAUUAUUAUUUUAAAUUAAAUACUAUUAAAAUAUACAAAUUUUAAAAUAAAUUAUAAAUAAUUAGUAUCUAACAAAUUCAAGUUUAUAAUAUUAAGUUUAAAUCCUCAAUUAAACUUAUGUUCAAAAGAUAGGUUUGAUUAGUUGUAAUUAAUAUUAUUUUCUUUCACAAUUAUUUUUUUCAAUUAGUGGCAGUUUUAUAAUCUUAUUAAAAGAAGAGUUUAAUAAUAAAAUAAUAUAUUAGAAAACAUGUAAAAGUACAAGAUAAAUAUGUAAAAGUACAAGAUAAAUUACAUUUAUUUGUGAUAUUAUUGAUAAAUUUUGUAAAAAAAAAUUAUAAAAUAACACAACAAGAUACACAAGCAACCUAUGAUACAUAGAGCACGAGUACUAUAACAAUUUUUGUUACCCGUGUUCUAUGUAUCAAUUUUUUGAAGAAAUUCAUUAAAAUUUGGUACGUGCCCACAUUACAUCAAAUAAAUAUGUGUAUAUUAAUGAACCUGUGAUAUAUAUUGCACAUUACAUUUUUAUAAUAUUAGUUUUUGUUUAAAAUUGUUAAUUAAUUUCUUUGACAAAUUGAUACAUAAAGCAUGGAUAAUUAUCUUUAAAAUAUAAGAUACACCGUACCCGUGCUCUCUGUACCCUUUAAGUUAUAUUUUGUAUAGUGUAAGCGCAAUAUAUAUAAUUUAGAUAAUCACAAAAAAUAUAAAAUGAUUUAAAUUUAUUUAUAAUAUAUAUCAACCAUAAAAUUAAAUUUAUACAAAAUUAUAAAAUAAUUUUAAUAUAUUUUAAUUGAUACAUACAACCAAAUCUGUGCACUGCCGGAAAAGAAAACUACUUAUAUAUACAAAGAAUAUUACAAUUUUGUAAUGCAAUAUUGUGGUGUGUGAUUUAUGACAUAAUUAUAGAUUUAGCUCUUAAUGUUUACAUCUUUUAUUAAUUUGAUUUUUAUUCUUUUCUAGCUAAAUUUAACCCUCAACAUCUUAAUAAGAGUCGAAUUUGACCAUCAACUUUUUUAAAAAAAAAAUUAAAUUGAUUUUUUUCGACUAAAAUAUUGACUAAAACGUGAAAUUUUUAAAAGUUCAUAUUCUUCAGUCAUUGAUAAAUAAUUUACUGGACAAUACUCAACGCACUUACCACAAAAUAUACAAAUUACAAAAUCUAUACUGUAAUUAAGCAAUCGUUUUUUUCGAAUAUCCGUUUCAAAUUUCCAAUAAACAAUGGGUAGAUCUACAGGGCAUAUUUAUUUGGAAUCUGAAAUGUUCAAAUUCUGGGUACGGCAAAUGUUGAUAAAAUCUGAGAAAUUAAUCGUAGGAACAUUAAUUAAUUUCAUGUUAGAAUGGAAAUUUGAUGCAUGUACGGUGUUUGCAACAUAAUUAUACACAAAUACAACUUACGACUCAUGCCUCUCUAUGAUUUUCGUUGUAAUUCUCUUCUCAAUUUACUCUACUCGUAUGUUAAGAGAAGAUCAAAACUUGACUACUUGAUGAGAAAAAGAAGCUACUUAAACCUAUAGGUUGCCUUGCUAUUCUCUCAUUGGUUUGAGAGAGGCUAUGUAACAUGUGUUUGAAAAGGGGAUUGUGAAUAAGAAUUACGAGGAUAAGAAUCAAAUUAAGAGACAACAUGAUGCCAUUAAUUAUAUAAAAGUUAUAGUUCACAUUUAGUUAGGGAUAUAUAGCCAAGAUUAAUUACACAGUGCCAAAAGCUUCCCCCUCAAUGCCUCAAUAUCUGAUUCCCUUAAUUGGUAAGUUGUUUUGGGUUCCACCUGCACAAUCCAAUUAGAUGAAAGAAGCCACUUAAACUGCUUGAUUUCAUGUACAAUUAUCACUAUAACAAAUUCACUCUUAGAAAUAUAUAUAUAUAUAUGCACCUGAAGGUGAAUAUUGUAGAAGAUCAUGCCAGCUCCAAAUGACUCAAAAGAAGUAGCAUUCAAAAGGAUUAAUCCUUGUUGCUCCUCCAAGAUAUGCAAAAACUCAGAUAACUGAAUCUUCUGAACUCGGUCCUUUCGCAACGUUAUCUGAAUCACAACUUCACUAUCACUACUUAGCCGAUUUAUAGAAACCGUAGCACUGCUUGAACAUCUUCCAUCCCUACAACGUUUAAUACCACCCUGCUGAAAAAUCCUCAACAAAAGCUCUUCUUUUUUAUGAACCAAUCUCUCCACUUGUUCCUGCAACUCUGGUAUAUAUUUCACUGCUUCUGAAACCGUCGCUGGAAUGCUCACCUUUUUCUGCAACAACAAAUUGAUGAGUUGCAUAUUCAUAUUUAUGACAUGCAUGUAUAUGUCUUCAAAUAAGAAAUUAGUUAUGUACCAUUUGAUCUGCAAGUGGAAGCAAUGAUCGAAGAGAUGAAAACAAGCUGUUAACCUUCUUCCGCCGGUGGCGCUCGCUAGCAUUGUGGUUAAGCUUCUUAACCACGCAGGGAUCGAAGCUGGCUUGAGGGACCAAGUCUAGGGUUUCAUUGUUUUCAUAGAUAUAGUUAAGUUGAUGGCCAAUGGGAUUAAGCAAAGGCCAGUUAGGUGUUGGGAAUGGGGCUAAUGCACACAUAUUAAACUGCUUUAACUUCUUGCAACUUUUCUUUAAUAAACUGAAAGGAUCAUUGACUGAUGGAUAUAUACAAACUACAACACUUAUCAAAUAUUCUCCCUUUGUUUAAUAUAUACAUGGAGUUGGUGCCUCUUUUAAAAAACUUAAUAUUUUAUUAAAACAUUAUAAAAAUAAAGGAGAAACAGAAUGUGGGCAAUUUGCCAUGCAUGAGGAUUGCACGAGCCAGGAGUAGGAUUGCCGCUGAAAGACAUGCGUAAGAUCUCGCAGGUCACGUGAAGGACAUGUUCCUCACCACCCACACUCCAUGUUAUAUACAAAGGUUUUCCUUGAAAAACUUGCAAGUUGAUCCAAGUACUAAUAGGAUGAAGCUCGUGCAAUAAAUCAGGCCUUGUAGAGGAACUGUAAUCGAGUUGCAAUUAUGGAAUCUUUAUGCAUCAAAGCAAUGUUCCUAAAAGUCUCAUCCUUGUGGUAUAUGUUAAGCCUUUUCGCAUCGGAUACAUGCAACUGAUUCGAGGUAAGUUGGAUACUUGUUUGAGAAACAAGUUCAUCAAACAUGACUCGUUAUAACAACUUCACUCAAUAGAAUCACUUAAGUGUCAUUUGAUAAGUUUUCACAUGGCCACUAUGCAAAUUAGUCCUUUAACUUUAUAUCGGGUCAGCUUAUAUCUACUUUGAUUCAUUAGGAGACAAUUUGCAACGAUGAAUAUUUAAGGUAGAAUGUUUUGCUAGGCACCUAAUAGGUCAUAGACGAUAGGAUGAAUUAUGAAGUUAAACUAAGUAAGAAUUGAUUGGAGGGAAGUGUGGAAACCAUUUUUUUUUGAAAAGGGUCGACUUUUAUUUAAAAACAAAAAUGGGAGUCGUCACCAAUCCUUUUUUAUUUAGGUGUGAUCGGAUCACCUCAUAAUUUAAUCAUUUUCAUAAAAGUUUAAAUUUACUAAAACGAUAAUUUUUGGUCUACGAAAUCUAGAAAACGAGUUCGGGAGUCGAUUACGCACGAGGAAGGAUUAGCACACUCGAUACGCCCAAAAUUGGUACCUAGUUGAUUACUCAAUGUCUUAAUAUCGAAUAUUGAAAAUUUGGAAAGAAUUAAAUAUACGAUCUUUUUUUAUUAAAAAAAACUUGAAUAAAUUGAAACGAUUGCCAAAGACCCUCUCGUCUCGAGAUAACAAAAUAUCACAUCCCGUAAAUUAGGACACGAUACUUUGAACCCUCAAGAAUAAGCUUGCCUUUAAUUUUUAUUUGAAAUUCAUGUAUUUUAAUUUUAAAAGGAUAUUCGGUUGUUUAGAUUCGACAAGAAAAAUCGAAACCCCGUAAGUUGGAGUAUGAUUUCUCGAAUCUCCAAAAUACAGAACAUUGCCUUUAUUUUUUAAGAUUUUCCCUUUUUUACAAGCUUGGAUAAAAAUUAACGAAAUAUUUAAAAACGAUAUAUAUACUUAGUUUAUUUGAGUAUGGCUAAAACAUGAAUUCGUAUUUAACAAAUGAUAAUACAACGUGACUUUGUGGUAAUAAUGGCACAACAUGCUUGAUAAUAAAUAUAAGAUAGCAAUCAUGAGUCAUGGUAUAAAUAUGCAUAAUAAUAAAUACGAUGAUAUAAAUGGCGAUGAUAAGAGUAAAAACAACAACGAGAUAAACAAAUAAAGAAGACAAUCUAAUUAGAAAUAAUAAAAUAAGCAAUACAUGAACUAAUAAAAGGUUUUAAAUAAAACUUAAAAGCAAGCAAAUGAAUAAAAUAAAUAAAUAAAAGAAGGAAUUAAAAUAAAACAAAUAAAAGAAGGUAAUAAUAAUAAUAAUAAUAAUAAUUUAAACUUCGAAACAUAUAAAAAGUGUAUGUAUAAAGAAAUAAAUAAAAUAAACAAUAAUGAGAGUAAUAAUAAUAAAAGCAUAUUAGAAAAAUAAUAAUAAGAGAAGAAACAAAAAGAUAAAAAAUGCUAAAUAUUAAAUUAAUUAAUUUAAUAACACGAUAAUAUUAACAAGGAAUGGCUAAAUUGAAAUCAAAAUGAGAUUUUGGGCAAAAAUCGGGAAUGGAAAUAAGGUAAAGGACCGAUUUACAAUGUGCAAAAAACAAGGAAGGACCAAGUGGGAAAUAAUCCCCAUCCUCCAAAACGCACCGUUUCAAACGGAUCACAUUGAAACUGGAAUGAAACUUUAUGGCCGAAAUAAAAACAAAACAAAAGAUCCUAUUGAACCCAUCCUCAAAAGCGGGAGGACUAAGGGAGCAAAUAGACCCUUAGUCCAAAAACACGCGGAUCCUAAACGGUCAUGGGUCGGGUCGGGUCAGAUCUAUCCAAAAUGACGCCGUUUCAACGUCUGAAUACCAGGCCUAAAACGACGUCAUAUUAAUCCUAGUAUAAAUAAUAAGAAACAGAAAAAAAAUCAUUUGAAUGGCCCCUUUAAAAAAAAAUUCUUUCUUCCUCUCUUUUCUCCUGGGUAACCCAGAAUCCAGCCAGGCUUCAGUGAGUCUUUGCCAUGGUGCCACCGUGGCUUCGUCGUAACUCCGCCGUGGUGGAAGAAAACUCCAAAACCUAUUUUGAGCCAUCUUUUCACGUAGAAACAGAUUCAAAAUCGAAAGAUUUCAAAUCAAACCCCAAAGCUCUAAAAAAAAAAGAAAAACUUUUCGACACAUUUGCUUCAAAGUCUCAAAACUCUUCUGGCACUGAUCAUCCUAGAUAAAAGGAACAUUCUUCUGUAGUAGUUUAGUCAUCGGCAAUGCUAUCUUCGAGAAGCCAUUUACAAAUCUCCUGUAGUACCUAAGCUAAAUCGAGAAAACUACGCACCUCCGAUACAUUCUUUGGCGCCUUCCACUGAACAAUUAUUUUGAUCUUCUUCGGAUCAACUCUAAUCCCGUCGGUAGAUACCACGUGUCCUAAAAAUACCACUUCUGACAACCAGAAUUCAAAUUUACUUAAUUUCCCAUACAACCGUUUGUCCCAUAGAAUUUGUAGAACUUUUCAAAGAUGCUGAUCAUGUUCUGCCUCUGUCUUCGAAUAUACCAAUAUAUCAUCAAUAAAGACCACCACAAACUGAUCUAGGUACGGCUGGAAAAUGCGAUUCAUUAAAUCCAUGAAUGUAGCUGGAGCAUUUGUCAAUCCAAAUGGCAUUACCAAAAAUUCAUAAUGGCCAUAACGAGUACGGAAGGCAGUUUUAGGCACAUCACUUUCUUUCACCUACAACUGAUAAUACUCGGAUCUCAAAUCAAUCUUAGAAAAUACUGAAGCUCCCUUUAGCUGAUCAAAUAAGUCAUCUAUACGAGGCAAGGAAUAGCGGUUCUUGAUUGUCAUUUUGUUCAACAGUCGAUAAUCAAUGCAUAACCGUAUAGAACCAUCUUUCUUUUUAACAAACAGCACUGGAGCUCCCCAGGGUGAAAUACUCGGUCAGAUGAAGCCUCGAUCUAGUAAAUCUUGCAACUGUACUUUCAACUCUUUCAAUUCAGUAGGCGACAUUCGGUACAGAGGUAUAGAAAUUGGUGCUGUACCUAGAUACACCUCAAUAGCAAAUUCAACCUCUCUAUCAGGUGGUAAGCGCAGUAGUUCUUGUAAUGGCCUAAAUUCAAAGUUAUCGGAAUAGUGGUUUCGUAACCACAAAUCCAAUUUAAAGAGAAAUUUAUUUUAAUAUUUUUGCAUGAAAAUUGAUAUGAUAGGAGAAUCGUAUGAAAAUAUUGAUAGAAAAAAAAUUUACCGAUUUAGUGGUUAGUUAGAAAAAGAAAUUAUUGAAGAAAUUAUUGAAGAAAUUGGGUAAAAACAAGGUAUCGGGCCCUCUAUCUCGUAAAACCGAGUCGAAAAUAAUUCUAUAAAUAUUUAUGAAAUGUUAGUAAUGUGGUAUUAAAAUUUCAUUAGGAAAUUUUAAUGUUUGGGUAGUCAAUUAAAUGAAAAGGACUAAAUUGUAAUAGGUGUAAAAGUUUAUAAAAUGAUUAAAUAGCUUAAGAGUCUAAUGAGAAAGGAUUUAAAAGGCAAUUAGACCCAAAAUUUAUUAUGGCUGGACGGCAAGGGCAUGAAAUCAGCAGGAAAAUUGAUAAAUUAAGGGCAAAAUUGGAAUAUUACAAAAUUAACUAAAUAAAACUAGGACUAAAUAGGAAAUAUCUAGAUUUCUCUUCAUUUCUCUUCAAUUCCAGCAGCUAAAAACACCAUAGGAGGGUUCUAUAAGCUGGUAUUUCAUAAUUUUUGCACCAAGUGAGUUAAUCCUUGCCUUUAUCUUGUAAUUUUUGUGUUUCUAAGACUUUUACAACUAGGUCCUACUAUUAAAUUCAUUAGUUUUUGAUUUCAUGGAUGAAAUUGAAAGUCACCAUGGUUGAGUGCUGUAAUUUUAUGAUGAAAUAGAAUGAAAUUAAAGCUUUAAUUUGUUUAUGAGAUGAUUUUAUUAGGUAAUUUUAAUAGAAAUUGAUUUUUAGGACCUAAUUGUGAAAAUGCUUGGAAUUAAAGUAUAUUGCUGAAAUUAUGAUUCCUAAAGGUUUUAAACUAGUUUAAGGUGAUAGAAUAAAAUGUUAAUUGAGAAAAAUCAGCUCAAUUGAGAGGCUAAUUGAGUAGGGACGAAAUUAUCAUUUAUUAAAAGCUUAGGGGAAAAAUGGUAAUAAAUAGCUUGCACAAAAACAGUUUGGACAGCAGCAGUAGACUAACUUUUGAAAAAUAACCAUAAAUUUUAGAAAUCGAAUUAGAAGAUGAAAAAAAUAUGUAAUUAAAGCUUAUUGAGUCUAGUUUCUCAUAGAAGAAAUAGUGUAAGUAAAGGAUUUGUAAAUUUUGAGAUAUAAUGAAUUUUGUGAGACAAGGUCAGAAUGAAUUCGGGUUCCCCUGUUCUGCAAUUGAAAAAUCAUAAAAAAUUGAAUCAAAAUAAUUAGAUGCUUAAAUUUAUAAGUCUAAAAUCCUGAAUGAGUCUAUUUUUAAUAGAAACAAACAAGAACAUCAUUUGAAUCCUAUAUGAAGAGAUAAUUAAUUUUUAGUGAAGAAGGAUGAGAACUGUCAGACAGCAGAACAGGGGUGACUUUAAAGAAUAAACUGUACUUAUUUGCUAAACCAAAAAUUCUGAAAAUUUUAUGGUAAGAAGAUAUAUGAGUCUAGUUUCAGGAAAAAUUAAUGGAUCUUAAUUUUGAGUUCCGUAGCUUGAGUUAUAAAUAAUUUAGUGACUAUGACUCAAAUAGACAGCUUUGAAUAAACUAUAAAUAAUAAUAGUUGAAUUAUAGAGAAUGUUGCAUAUGAACAUGAAAUGUAUUAAAUUGAUAAUUAAAUUUAUUUAUUUAGAUCCAGAAGAUUCAAAUACGAAGCUAGAUCGAGGAAAGGAAAAAGUUCGGGAUUAGUAGAUUUUUUUUGUUUACAAACAAGUAUCAAGGUAAGUUCGUGUAACUUGAAUUAUAUUCUUAAAUUGCUUGAGAUUGUAUGUUAUUGAUGUGAAUAUGAUUUGAAUGUUCAUUGUAUAAAAAAUUUAUGAAACAUUGAUAUGUUUGAUAAAAAGGGGAAGAAAUCCCAGUUGAAUGAAAGGAAAAUUCGAUGGAUCUCUGAGAAGGAAUUAACAGUAAAAAGGAUCUAGCCCGGCCGGGUGAUCCUAUCUUGAUAUAGCCCUCCCGAAGAAUAUGUGGAAAAUAGAUUUAGCCCGGACGGGUAAUCCGAAUUAGGGUCUGAUUUAGCCUAGACUGGUAAUUUAGAUCUAAGCUCAUUAGAGUAAUUGUCGUUGCAAAGGAUUUAGCCUGGACUGGUAAUCCCGACAAUACUCUAUGAGUUUAUAUUGCAGGGGAUUUAGCCUGGACUGGUAAUCCCGAUAAUACUCUAUGAGUUUAUAUUGCAGGUGAUUUAGCUUGGACUGGUAAUCCCGCUGCAAGGUUGAGGUUCGCGGGAGUGUGCUCUCUGAAAUGGAAAUGUGCGCACAUGAAUAUGAAUUGACGGACCCGGAAUUUUACACUAACAGUGUACCUCUGAAAAUUCAUCGAAAUUUCGAUAAAUUCAAGGGGAUAAAUAUGGAAAAAUAACAAAGAAAUAGAAAUUAUGAUAUUGAUGAGCUCAUCAAUCAUGGUAUAUAUUAUUGGUACAUGGAAAUUGUUGUACUAACUUGAAUGUUGAGUUUGUGCAUAUUAGAGUAAUAAUGUAUUGAAUGGAUAUAUGAAUGUUUAUUGUAUUGUAUUGAAAAUAUUAGGUAAGUAUAAUUCUUGUUACAUGAGCUUACUAAGCACGAAGUGCUUACCCCGUUUCCUUUUUCCCUGUUUUGUAGUGUUAAGAGCUCGGAGGUCGGAUUUGUUCAGAGACACAUCACACUAUCAACCUCAGGAUUUCGGUAUAUAAAGAAACUUUAUUUUGGAAAUCAAUGGCAUGUAUAAGCUAAUAAAGUAAAUGUUAACGUGAAAUGAAUAUAAACUUAGCCAUUAGUAUGGUUAACAAACCUGGUUUUGGGUAUGUGAUGACGUUAUCUUAUAAAUAUGCAUGAAUUUAUCUUGAAAAUAUGUUGAAUUGGUUUGGUUGAAGUGGAUUGGUCCUGAUUUAAUAUUGCAGGGAAGGUUAGAUAUUUAUAAAGGGGCUAUAUUUAAUAUAAAAAAAAUCGUAAACUCUGAUAAUACCUCGUACGCUAUUCCGGCAAUGAAUACGGGUUGGGGUAUUACAGUUCUUCUAGAAAUACAUCUAGAAACUCGCAUACAGUCCUAAUCUGACUGCACUGACUCCCAACUGAAUCAGAAUUAAUAACAUAUGCCAAGUAUGCUGAACAACCCUGCUGCAGUAAUUUAUUAGCCUUCAUCGUUGAAAUGAUGCGUGUCGAACCACUGGUACGGAUGCCAUUCACUUCAAUUCUGUCCUCAUUUUCUGUUUGAAUACUAAACCUCUUUUUAUAGAAAUCCAAAACUACCCCAUGUUUAUAUAACCAGUCCAUACCCAAAAUGAUAUCAAAAUCACCAAAAGGCAUGAUCAACAAAUCCACAGGAAACAUUUUAUCAUGUAUUAUUAACGGGCACCUCCGACAUACUCUAUCUACUGACGCCGUUUGUCCCAAAGGGCUAGACACUUCUAUAGAAACUCUAGAUAUUUUAGAUCCUAAUUUCCCCGAUUCAACUAGUUUUGAAUUAAUAUAUGAAUGUGACGAACCGGGGUCAAUUAAAGCAUAAAUAGGCUCAGAAUACAAUAAAAAUAUACCUGUAACAACAUCGUGUGCAUCUCCUUCCUCACGGGUCCGAACUACGUACGCUCUAGCCGGUGCCCUGGCCUCUGAUUGUUGUGUAACUAUAUCACUGUUUCUUCUAACACCUCCACCUCCGGACACAGAACCGCCCCUGCUAGAUCAUCCGCCACAAACAGUAGGCACUGAUCUCUGAGAUGCUGCACGUAUCGUAUUUUCACUUUUUGGACAGUCUCGAAUGAAAUGAUGUGUGAGCCCGCAUCGAAAAUGUCAUCGAGUUAUCCUCCAACAUUCACCUAAGUGUUUUUUUCCACAGUGUUCACAGUCAGGGAUAUCAAUUUUUCGUGAAGUUCCCUUUACACUACCGGUAGAAACAAUAGUCUAUUUACCCUUACUUUUGUCACCUGGAUCCGAUCUGAAGCUUGGCUUCCAACCACCUCUGAACUCUCUAGAUAUUUUUGGUAAAUGAUUAGAACUAGCAGUUCCAGUUCGUUUCCCAGUCAAUUUAGUCAUUUCAGGCUUUUUUUCCAAUCUCAAAACUUGUUCUACCAUUUUCGCUCUUUCAACCAAAUCUACAAAUUUUGUGAUUCGUUGUGACAGCAACUGUACUCUGAUUUCAUCUCUCAAGCCCCGUAGAAACCUCUUGUAACUAUUUGCCUCAGUUGGGAUGAACUCAGUAGCAUACCGGCUCAAUCUAGAAAAAGCUCUUUCAUAAUCCACUACUGAUAGAUUGCCUUGUUUCAACAUUAGAAAUUCCUGCUUUUUAUCUUCAAUAUAUAGCUCUCCAACAUACUUCUUCUGAAAUUCCUUCUUAAAUAAUUCCCAUGUUACCUGUUCUGCUGGCAAAUGUCAAAUUACAGAUUCCCACCAUAGAUAAGCCUCACCCUAAAGUAAUAAAACGACACAAAUCAAGUAUUCCUGGGGGUACAUUCUAAUUGCCGCAGAACCCAUUUAGUUGAUUCCAUCCAAUUCUCUGCAGUAGAUGGAUCAACUCUUAUCAGACCCAUAAAUUCUAUAGCACCGUAUUUUCUUAGCUCUUUUAUUGGGGCCCGUCUCUGAGUUGGUACAGAAAUUGUAGCAGGAACAGUCUCCGUUACUCUUUACAAAGCAUCGACAAUAUCUCUUAAUAUAUCAGAAUCAUCUCUAUCAUUUCAUCUUUCUACUCUAGGAGGUUGGUUUCUCAUCGGGUUAAUACUAGGUGUUAUUGAUUCAGUUUCAUUUAACUCGUAAGAUUCUUCUUCUCCAGUAUGCAUUUCUUCUCCAGUAUCGUUUAUUCUUUCAUCUGACAUCUUUUAUCUAUAAAACAAAAACAAAUAAAUAGGUCAGCAUCCAAAAUUCCCGACUCAAUUUCGACUAAAAAGUGGCAUGUACUAUUAGACUCACUUCCGAGAUCGAUUUAGCCCGAGAAUCAGCUAAACUUGAUAGCUCUAAUACCAAUAAUUGUAACACCCCCUAACCCCAAACCGUCACCGGAAUAGGGUUACAAGGCAUUACCGGACAUAUCAGACAACUUACGAAUAAUUCACAAUUAAUAUAACAUUCAUAGUAUAAUUUAAUAAGUAAGUCCCUAUAUUGGACUCUCGAAGCCUAAAACAUGUAUUAAAAGUAAAACGGGACUUGUUCGAGUAUUCUGAAAAUUUUUUCAUAAUUUUUAUUUUACAUGUGUAUAAAUACACAUAUCACACAUGUACACUUUUAUCAUCAUACAUUUGGCACAAAUUUUAAUUUAUUUAUAAUCUAAUAACAAAAUUUGAAAUCAAAUAAUAAUAAUAUUAACAAUAAUAAUUAAUAAAAUCCAAGAGAAAUCUUAGAUUUUUCUAUCCAUUUUGCCGCUUCAAUCAUUACAAAUGGCUUAAUUGCCAUUUUAACCCCUUUUUAAUUCUAUUAUUUUAGAAUUAAACUUUUAACCUUUACUCAAUCUAAUCCUUUUUACUAAUUACUCUAAAUUAAACUAGUUUCACCUAAAUAGAACCUAAUUAGACAUAUAACUAGACUCAUAAUUAUUCCUAAUAAUUAUUUACGAACCUGUUUCACUAAGACGGAGGCCCGAUAAUGUACUUUUUCGAUGCCCACGGAUUUUGGGUCAUUACAACCGAGCCUUGGAUGGUGUGCGUGCUGAGGGAGCACAUGGAAGGGGCACCACACAAAGGAGAUUCAAAAACCCUAGGGUUUCUGAAUUGUUUUAGGUUAUUGGGCCUUUUGGGCCUGUAAGAACUUGGGCUUAUUUUAGGCUAGGGUUUGGGUUUAAUUUUUGGUAUUUUGGGCCAAAGGUGUAAUUUAGGCUUAAUGAGUCUGUAAAGUUUGGGUAUUGGGUUUUAAGUAAUUCGGGCUUAUAUUUGUAAAUUGGGUUUGUCAUUAGUCGUAAAUGGAUUGGACUUUAAUGGAUUUAUUAUUGUUUUCUCUUUUGGUUUGCUUUUAUUGUUUCUAGUUUGGGACCCAGGAAAAAUAAGCUUAUUUUGAUGUUUUGGAAGCUUUGGGACAAGGUUUUGAUGAAAUUUAGUGAAUAUUUUGAAAGUUAUUAGAUUUCUAAAUAUUGUUCAUGUUGAAUAAAAAGAUGAAUUAGGGGUUAGAUUGAUAAGAAUUCAAGUUAGAAAUGAAAUAAGGAUUGAAUUGUAAAGUAAUUCAUAAGUUUUAUGUUGUAGGGACUAAAUUGAUGAAAUUUCAAAAUUAGAAAAAUAUGCUAAAUUAGGAAAAUAUGCUGGAAAUUUAAUAGUUAAGUAUGAGUUUGAAAAAAAUUUCAAUAGAAAUGAAGUAUGAAUUGAGAUAGAAAAAGGAAGUGAAUUUAGUUAAGAUUAAAUUAAAAUAAAAGUAGAAAUUGAAUAGAAAUUGUAUUAAUUAGAUAUAAAUUAGUAGUGAAUUAACGAAUAUGAAUUGUUUUAAUUCCCAUAGCUAACGUUGUCUCAGGAAAUCUCGGCUAAGCAAGGAAAACUGGCAAAGACAACGGGAGUUAGCUCGAGAAAAUACGGUUUGUAUUUCUAUAAUCCGAACUUAAUACUUAAAUUGUUGGAUUUAUUAUUUAAUAUUUAUGUAGUAGGUGUUUUGAGAUGAUUAUUUGAAUUGGAUUGAAUAUUGAUUAUAUUGAAUUGAUUUAUGAAUAUAUGUGAAUGUUUGAAUUGAAAUGAAUAUUGAUGUGGAAAUUGAAUAAUAAAUAUUUGUUAUAUUGGAAAAUAUAUGCAGUUGGAAGUGUGAUAAAAUUGAUAGAAAAAUGUGAUUAUUGUGAAAUUGAAUAUUUAUUAGUGAAAAGUGAAUGGAAUUAUAUUGAAUUGAAAAUAUAUAGUUAAUUAAUUAAAAUAUGAAUUAAUUGAAAAUUGAAAAGUGAAUUAAAUACCCUAUUAAUUAGUCGAUCUAGUUGGAUAUAGUUGGCAUGCCAUAGGAUAUGGAAGAGUACUGGUUUUGUCGGCUUACUGAUCAGGCACUUAUGUGCCGACUACUGUUACUGUUACCGAUUCGGCACUUUGUCUGUUGGAUAUUGUUACUGUUACCGUUACUGUUACUGUUUCCGAUUUAUUCCGAUGAGGUACUCUGUGUACCAUACUGUUACUGUUACUGUUCCGGCUUCGGCCGAUGAGGCACUAUGUGCCGUACUGGUGUGUUGGUUGGAUCCGUGUAUCCGUCUAGGUCCAAGUCAUGUUAAUAGGGGUAAAUAAAGGAACUGGAGAGAUCGACUGUUACUGAAUAAUUUAAUUGUUACUGUAUAUCUGAUUUUUACUGAAUAAUUGACUGUUACUGGAUAACCGAUCAAUUGAUUGAUACUGAAUAACUGAUUAUUAUUGAAUAAUUGAUUGUUACCGAAUAACUGACUAUUACUAAAUAAAUAAUUGUUCUGAUUGACUGAUCGUUAAUGAAUAUUACUGAUUGAUUAAUUGCUAUCGAAAAACAAUAAAUGAUUUUGAAUUUAAAGUAGACCAAAAUAUUGGUUGGAAAGUGAAUGUUUGAAUACUCAUUGAGUUUGAAAAGUUCAAUAUAUAUAAAUUAAUAUGUUUUAUAAUUGUUUAAGUGUUCAGAUUAUAGAAAUAUCACUGAGUAUACCUAUACUCAGCGUACGGUUUGUUUCUGUGCGCAGGUUAAGUAAAGAUAGAACGUUGAAUCAGCAUCCCAGGCCGAUCCUGAAUUCAAUAAGGUAAAGUGUGUUAAUUAUUGGUAAAGGCAUGUACUUAGGGUGUCUUAUGUGUGUGUCAUUUUGAAAUUGUAAAUGUAAGGAUGAAAUAAAUAGAUUUAAGUUUGGUUAUGAUAUAUAAUAGAAUUUGGUUAAUUUGGUAUGAAAUUGAUUUAUUUGAUGAUAUUUGAUAUUUGAAUAAAAUUAAAUAUUGAAUAAUAUGUAAAUGUUUAAAUUUGGCAAAUUAUGAGUGUAUCAGGUUGUGUUGGUAUUUAUGUGUAUAUUAAUUGUAAAUGCUCGAUAGGUUCGGUAAUGCUCCGUAACCCUGUUUUAGGGACGGUUUGGGGUUAGGAGACGUUACAAAUAAAAAUAAUAAUAAUAAUAAUAAUCUAAACUUUGAAACAUAUAAAAAAUAUAGUAUAAAGAAAUAAAUAAAAUAAACAGUAUAAAGAAAUAAAUAAAAUAAACAAUAGUGAGAGUACUAAUAAUAAAAGCGUAUUAGGAAAAUAAUAAUAAGUGAAGAAACAAAAAGAAAAAAAUGCUAAAUAUUAUAUUAAUUAAUUUAAUAACAUGAUAAUAUUAACAAGGAAGGGCUAAAUUGAAAUCAAAUUCAAAACCAAAGGAUUUCAAACCGAACCCCAAAACUCUAAAAAAAAAGACCUUUCGACUUUUGGCCUUCUCCGCCGUGGCCUCGGUUGGAUCCCUAAUGAUCUGAUAGCCUUCGGACCAGAAAGGCAACGUCGAUGAUACGUAGACCAAACGACGGGUAAAAAUCUCCUAUUAUGUAUAUUUACUUAUUAUUUCUGCUUUCGAAUUAGAAAUAAAUAAAAGAAAAAAAUUUACCUUUUUGAAAUUCUCAGUCUCGUUUUUUAUUAAUAUUUUCUGUAAAAAAAAUACAUUGACGAUGGUGACUUUUUAUAGCCGGAUGCUACAAUUAAUUUCAUUUUAUUUUUAUUGUUUAUGCUUCUGCUUCUACGAUUUCUAUUUGCUUUCUCUGCUUUUUGUUGCUUUCUUUUUUUUUUGCUGUGUUUGCAGGUUAUAGAAGGAGUCAACGAAGGCAUGUUUUGCCAUCUUGGUGCAAGGUCGCAGGCAGAGCCGAGCCUUGGAUGGUGUGCGUGCUAAGGGCGCACAUGGAGGGAGUACGUGCAAAGGAGAUUCAGAAACCCUAGGGUUUCUGAAUUGUUUUAGGUUCUUGGGCUUGUAGGAGCUUGGGCUAAUUUUAGGCCAAGGUUUGGGUUUAAUUUUUGGUAUUUUGGGCGAAAGGUGAAAUUUGGGCUUAAUGAGUGUGUAAAGUUUAGGUAGUGAAUUUUAAGUAAUUCGGGCUUAUAUUUAUAAAUUGGGUUUGACAUUAGUUGUAAAUGGAUUGAACUUUAAUAGAUUUAUUAUUGUUCUCUUUCAGUUUGGUUUUUUUAUUUCUAGUUUGGGACUCGGACAAAAUAGGCCUAUUACAGUAAGGUCACAAGGCAAACAAUUAAAUGGUUCAGUUGUUGAAAUUCUAAAAAAAAAUAAAAUUUGAUGAAACAAGGAACAAGGUGAAUAAGAAUUGUUUGGAAUAAAGGCAUGAGCUUAGUAGACUCGAUAUUUAUGAUUCUUUGAAUGGUAAGCCCAGUGUUUAAUUAAAAACUGAGACUUCCCUUAUGGCAUAUUGGAUAUACGUCAGUCAUUGGGUUUUAUAGCAGUAAUCCAUAUACAACUUUAGAGAAAACAUAAUCAACACCUGUACGCUUUUUUUAUAUGAGAAUAUUAUUGUAUUUGUCUACUUCUUUUUAGAUUAUAAAAAAGUUUAAAUAAAUUUAAUUUUUGCUUGAUAAUUCAAUUUUUAUAAUGUUAUUAGUAGGGGGAAGUCAAAAUUUUUUAGGGGGUCAAAAUUAAAUUUUAAUUUUUUAUAGCCUAUAUUUUUAUAAUUUUUAAAGGGUUAAAUCAAAUUUUUAGCAUUUUUAGGGGGAACAAAGUGUAAUUUUACCUUUACUAAUUUAAAUUUUAAAAUUUUUAAAGGGCUUAAAUGAACAAUUUUUCAUUUUAGUAGGGGUCGGGGCCCCUACCAGCCCCCCUAGAUACGCUGCUAGUCACUGGUUAGUUUAAGUGCGUUAUUCUAAUUAAAAUGAUUAUGUGAAUCUUUAAGAAUUGUUAGCACUGUUAAAAAUUCUUUUUUAAAUUCAGGUUCAUUAUAAUGUUUUCUUUUUGCUCUAUGGAUACCAAGUUUAUUUUAUUUUUUUCAAAAUGUCACACCAAUACAAAAGAAUUCUAAUAGUGUUAACAAAUGUACCUAAACUUUUAAAUUGAAAAUAAAAUUAUGGAAAUUAAAUUCCAAAUAUAUGAAGAGUACAAAAACUUUGAGCCAUUCGUAAACUUUAAAUUUUUACAGUAUAAUUUAGUCAAUAAAUAAAUAAUUAAUCCAACGCAAAGCAUGGGUGGAAACUGUUGGGAAAGUUGCUACUACUCGUUCCAUAUUCUAUUAUAAUGAAGUUGUUUCCCUACUUAGGCUAUUGACUUGGCCUUAAAUAGGUUUUAUUUGUGCUGAGUUUAAUCUACUUGAAUGUAACAUAUUUGACAAAACUAGAAGUAUUGGUUGACUCAGGUGCUAAGACUCCCAAUCGAAUUACUUGAGAUGAUUGGAUAAGCAUGAAAGUCUUCUCUUGGUGAUUAAAAUGCUAUUUUUAGAGAUAAAUAUCAUAUUUAUUCAAGAGAGUUUUGGAGUAAUUAAAAGACUGAUAUAUGAAGACUUUUAUGUGUUAAAUAUUCAGGAUAAUCAAUGAGAUAAUUUUAGCUCUUAAAUAGGAGUUUAAAAUCUAUCAAAACACUAUUGAUUGACCACUUGAAGAGGCCUAAAAAUAGGGUGGGAAAAUGAUUGUAUGAAACAGUGAUACCACGUCAUUUGUAUAUAUUUUCCAAUAGUUUUAUGCCACAUCAGCAUUUUCAUCUUGAAAAAAAUUAAAUCCAAAUUAAAAUCCUAAUAUUCAGGAUGAAAUUAUUGAUGUGACAUAAAACUAUUAGAAAUGGAUAAUAUCCCUGUUUUAUACAAUCUUUUCUGAAAUAGGUUGUUUCAUGCUGCAUAUCAAGAGCACUUUUUGGAGUGUUUUUGUUGACAACUUUGUUUUGUUUUCUUGUGGUUAUUCUGUAAUGCUUUUUUAGGUAUUAUUUGGAGAGGUUUAUUGCUUGUAUUAUGAGAUAUUUGAGUGAGUGAUUUGUGACAAUUGGGGUAAGUAUUGGGGCUACAAUUACUCCUUUGUGUAAGUGUAGAUUAAACUUAAGUCAAUAGGUGAUUCGGAUGAUUGUUGAAUAAAAUUACUCACUAAACAAGGCUACGCUGAUGUAGGAUUGUAAUGUCUGAAAUGUGUUAACAAAAAUCAGUUGUGUCGAUUUCUUUUUACCUUUAUUUUUGUUGUUGCAUGUUUUUGUUCUAAUUAUCGUUACAACAAAUAUUAAACAAAGUUAAUUUAUGAUAUCCACGAACUAAUUAUUUUAUAUGAGUUAAAAGAAUGACAUGUUUAUUCAUGUUUUUGGCUAAAAAGUAUAGGGGGAAAUUUUCUAUUAUUUUCAGCGUUAUUCCUCUUCCAUAGAUGUCAACAAUUUGUGUUUUCUUGAAUCAAGAAAGUCCUAUUCGGCCUACCUGCUCUUCCACCUUUCUUCUUACCUUCACUUUCUUUGUUUUUGCUUUGGUUCGCACCUUGAUUGGCACCAUUAAAUUUUGAUAAAAUGUGCAGCCAAAAAUUAAAUGAAAUGUUAAAAUAAUUAAUGUGUAUUAUACUGAAAACAGUUAUAAUAGAAUAUUCCAAAUUUCAGCUCAUCAAUCUCUCAAUCUGAGUUAACAUGAAUGCUGAUUUUGGGGUUUUCCUAUAAAAAUAACAUUAAAAUUUUAUUUAAUUAUGAGAAACAAAUUAAUUAUCGUUAAAAAUAAUUAAAUAAGUUUAACAUUUAUCAAUAAAAAUAUAAUCUACUAUAUGAGUUUAAAAAGAAAAUAAUAAACAAAAAAGAGUUUAUGAAACUAUUAUCUAUUACACUAAAUUUGGUGCCGUCAUACGGUUAGACGACACUAAGUGUUUUUUUUUUUUUACAUCAGAUGAUCUGAAAGAGAAGAAAAUUCAUAUCAAGUCCUUGAAUGUUUUGAUUUAUUAUACUUUAAUUUAGUGCCAUCAAUGUGUCAUGUGACGUCAAUAAAAAAUUAUUUUUUUAAAAGAAAAAACAAUAGUUGUGUCAUCAAUCAAUUAGACAACGUCAAUAUUCACUAUAGAAAAUACCCCAUUUUUAUAAUUAAUAUGUUUCACAUACUAUUUUUGUAAUUAAUUAAUUUUUAGUAUUAUUUUUAAAAAAUCCUCAUUUCGAUUUCUACCUUAAAACUAAGUAGUUAUUCCUUCUCUUUUUUUCACUUUCAGCAAAAGAAAAAAAAUUGUUUCUUCUAUAUUAAUUUAAGCUAUCCAAACAAAAAUGUAAACGUAGGGUGGUUACUAUAAAAGUAUUUUAGAAGUUUUUGUAUUAAAGGUAAGUUUGUAUUUUGUUUUUUAUUAAAAAAUAAAUAAAUUAAUCUUUAUAUAUUAGAUUAAAAAAUAAACUAAUUUUUUGUAUAUUUAAAAGUUAGCUUGAUUGAUGAAAUAAUAUGGCCUGUUACAUAUAUCUCAUACUAAUGUAUAGGGGACCAGUUUAUAACAAUAAAAAUGAAUAAAAUUUUUAAGAAAAGAAGCGAUAUAAUUUUUUAUCUAAUGUAGGAGUAGUUUUAAAUAAAUUAGAGAAAAUGGAAUGGUAAUUUUAGGUGGUUUCUCAUUUUCACCAAUAGGUUAGAGAAGAUUAGUGAUAGAAAAUAUUUCAUCAUAAAUCACAUAACUGCGAGCUUUUUCCUUAAAGGUACAUUUUCUUUGUACGUUAACAAUUUCAAAACGAGAAUGAAAGUUGGAUUUGAACAAGCCAAUCCGGCGGCGAACGGCGGCGAAAAUGAAGCCCCGCCGUCACCUGCCAAAUCAAAACAGAAGAAAUCGGGCUGUUACAUCAGUUUUUCAGCUCCCUUACCAAGGUAUCCGCUCCACCAUUACUUUUUCAUCCCCAAAAUUAGAAACAACAUCCAACUACGAAAAUUCAUGGAGCCUGAAGCCAACCGAAAAAAAACACCAAAAUCAUUUUUCCUCUCCUUUCUCUUUCAUCGUCCCAUUCCCUCUUGGAAAAUUGAAAAAUGACGGUAAUUGAUAUCCUAUUCCGAGUCGAUGAAAUCUGCAAGAAAUAUGACAAGUACGAUCCCGAGAAGCAACGCGAAGCCAAUGCCUUUCUCGACGAUGCCUUCGCUCGCCUCUACUCUCUCGUUGAGGCCGACAUCGAAAAGGCUCUCGCUGUUCGCUUCCUUUUUUCUUAUCCCUUCCUUUUUUUGUUUUCUUUUCAAACAUUGAUUUUUCAAAUUAAUUAUUGGAAUAAAAUGCAGAAAUCUGACAAGGUUUCUACGGAGAAGAAUAGAGCAGCGGCGGUGGCAUUGAGCGCUGAGAUUCGUCGGAUAAAGGCUCGAUUGAUGGAGGAAGUUCCUAAGCUUCAAAAAUUGGCUAAAAAGAAGGUAUAUUUCUAUUUAAUUUCAGCCUUUUUGCGUAGUCAUAUUAUCGUUAACUUUGUAGGUAUUUGAAUUUGUUAACAAAGAUUAUAUUAUUCUUUAAUUAUGAUUCGUCUCAUUUCAGUAAUGUAGCUCUAGAUUUUAUGAUAAUUAAAUAUCAGUCAGCAUGAAGUAGGGUGAGAUUACUAGUUCGAUUUGCCCAUGUUCAAAAUUUUAAGCUGCAUUGUCUUGAUUCCUGAUUGAUUAUGGUAACUUAAGAUUACAAGAGGUUGACAAUGGAAUUCUUGUAUUGAAUAUGCUAUUGGUAUCUAACUACAGGUGAAGGGACUUUCCAAAGAGGAUCACGAAACUCGUUUCGAUAUGGUUCUAGCGCUACCUGAUCGAAUUAAAGCCAUUCCAGAUGGGUCUACGGCUGCAGCAAGCGAGAGCGGUGGAUGGGGAACUUCAUCAUCCAACAAAAAAAUCAAAUUUGAUUCAUCAGGUAAUUGAGGGUAAUGCUUAUUCCUCGAGCUAAUUUUGAAAUUGAUCGUCGAUUACUUUCCUUUAUCAGAGGAGCGCUUCGGUAGUGAUUUUUACCAACAAACUGAAGAGUCAGAUCAAUUUAGACAAGAAUAUGAAAUGAGAAAAAUGAAACAGGCAUGUAAGCUUCACAGCAAUACCUUUAAUAUCUACACUGCAAUCCAAAGUGGUCUCUGCACUGUUGUUUUAAUUAUAUAUAAAAUGCAUGCAGGAUGAAGGUCUUGAUGUGAUAUCAGAAGGUCUGGAUACACUGAAAAAUAUAGCUCUUGACAUGAAUGAGGUUUGUUCUUAUGUGAAUGGUUCUGGUUUGGUCAUGAUAUCAUGAGCAACAAGAAAUUAAUUUAUUUGCUUUAAAUAUGUUCAGGAAAUAGAUAGACAAGUUCCUCUAAUGGAUGAAAUUGAGACAAAGGUGAGAAUUUUUCUUAAUGCCAUGUCUCUUCAGUUUGGCCUUAGAAUCAGUUAAAGCAGACAACAUGGACAAAACCCAUAAAUGCAUCACUUAAUACAGGUUGACAAGACAACAUCUGAUAUUCGAAAGAAUAAUGUUAGACUGAAGAAAACCAUUACCCAGGUAAUUACUGUUUUCUAAAAAUGAUUGUUUCUUCCCAUUAAGCUUCCAAUAAAUAGCAUUUUGCUUAUGUUUGCAGAUAAGAUCCAGCCGAAAUUUCUGCAUUGACAUUAUUCUGCUGUGUAUCAUUCUAGGGAUUGCUUUCUAUUUGUACAAGUAAGCUCCUUAUUAUCUUGUAUCUUCUUUCCAUAUAAUGAUUUCUGGAUGCAAAUGUUAAAUGCUUUUGCAUGUAUGUCCAUUCAUUUUCUAAGGAAAUCUUUCUCUGUUGGCAGUGCACUGAAAUGAAUAGAGGCUUUUAUGUACGUCCAUUUAGCCCUAAGGAACCUACAGCUAUACUGUUUAUUUUACUGUAACAGGACAUGAUUUUUUUGCCCUGCAAUAAUAUAUGGCUUUGUAGCAUUGCUGGGUAUAUCUGUAUAUCAAUAAAACAUUUUUAUGUUUCUAUUUCACCAUAUAUAUAUUUAUUUGACAACUUCUUAUACUUGCUAGGAGAUACUUUCUAUAUACAUAUCUUAAGAUAUAAAUUUCUGUACAUUAUUUUUAUUAGAAAAACUUGGAAAUUUAGUUCUAAAGUUUUAUUAUACUUCAAAAUGGACACAAAUUAAAUUGUUUCAUUUGAAUGAAUAAAAAUGUACCGAAAGAUUUUUGUUUGGUAUUUUUAUAUUUUUGAGGUUCAACUUCCGGUUCGGGUCUAUAACCAUAAAAUAGAUACCGGAAUUAUUUAAAUGAUAAGGUUAGUUUAAUAUUUUAUGUAUUAAAUGUAUUUAAUUAUAAUCAUUAGUAACAUGUAAGUAAAUUAGAUGAUAAUAAAUAAAUCCAAUUAAUUUUUUUAGGUGAUGACUGCAUCAAAUAUUAACCUUUAAUCCAUUUUAUUACUACAUAUUUAAACAUUUAUAAUACAUAAAAAUAUAUCCAUAUCAUUAUUACAUAUUUAAAAACUUGUACUAAACAUUGAAUAGAGUAUCAUUAGAUGGUUCGCAUAAAAUUAUAUACCAUUACUUUCUACCUUUUGUUUAUUAUAUACGGGAAAAAAAUCAAGGGGUUUUUUUUUGUUUUUGUUUUUAAUUUAAAUUAAUACUAAUUUAACUAUUAUUUCGAAUCAAAAUAUAUAAUACUAAUUUAACUAUUAUUUCAAAAAAAAAAAUCAAAAUACAAUACGUUUUUUUUUAAUAGUGCAUAUUCAAAAUCCUAAUACAACUAAAAUUACAAAUCCUAAUUAUAAUAUUCCCCCAACCCCAACCUAUAUAUAUAUUUAUUAGUCACAUUGAAAAUUGAACAUUUAGCACCUUUCUCUUGUCGAUGGCGGAUUAUAGAGAAUACAUCCCUUUAGUAGAGCCUCAUACCUUCGAUCAUUCAUCUGACCCCAACCCUCCUCCAAGCGUCCAAACAUGCGGAGGGAGCUCAGAGGUACUACAAGGAAAUACUGCAAGGAAGCCUAGAGGUAGGCCUCCAGGCUCUAAAAACAAACCCAAAACUCCCACUGUUAUAACUAGAGACAACGAUUCAGCUAUGAAGACAGCGGUUCUUCAAAUCUCCGCUGGUUUUGAUGUUAUUGAAAACAUCAUCAACUUCGCCCGUAGAAACCAUGUCGGUGUUAGUAUAAUCAGCUCCACCGGCUUUGUUUCAGACGUCAUUCUCCGAUAUUCUUCUUCUCAAGGGGCGCCAUAUCGUUUUGCUGGAGCCUUUGGGAUCCUCUCCUUGUCUGGCUCAUUCUUUGCCGAUCAUAGUACUACAUCGACGCCAUGCUCUUCUUUUAAUAUAAUUCUUUCAGGGGGACAAACCCAAUUAUUAGGAGGAAUAGUAGCUGGGAAAGUAAUGGCAGCAACGCCAGUGACGGUUGUGUUGCUUACUUUUGCAAGCCCUUCAUUUUAUAAGCUUCCGUAUGAAGGCGAUGACGAAGAUCAUCAUCACCAAACAAUGCCUUGUAACAUUGAUGGUGCCAUCCAGUGUUACAUUCCAUUUAUUCCUUGGGCUUCUUCCUAGAAGACGAAUGACAUACCUGAGGAACUUAGCUACUUCAUGGUUUUACAUCAUCAUCGUCAUCAUUUAAGCUAGUUUUUCACUAUUUUGGAUAUUCCACCAAAUUUACAAACCUUAUUUUUUUUUUAUUGCGUCCAUUAUUGUUACUUCAUCCAUCAUAUAAUAUUUAAUUUCUUUAUCCUAAGAAAAUUUAACGUUGAUUAAUAUUCAGUUCCUUCUACAUGGAUAUAAAAUUAAUACGUCGACCCUAGAUUUUCAAAUUAUAUAUCUUCUCAAUAUAUAUUUAUUUAUAUCAUAUAUGCAAUGCACUCAACUGUGGGUAUAUACAGAAAUACUACCUGAUGUGUGUUAUAUUAUCAUUUGUUUAAUAUUAAAAUUAAAAAAUUCUAAUUAAACAAUUAGUUUGGAUUUUGGUAAUAAUUGGGGUUUAAUUUAAUUAAUAAGUAAAUUAUGGCAGAAGAUUAUUUGGUGUUUGAAUUUGUAAGAAUUAAGAAGUCUUUGGGGUGCAAAGAUACGUAUAUAUGUUUUAACAUUUAGAAUUAUGAAAGAGCUGAUAGACUACAAGUAACGUACCUUUUCUAUUGACUAUUAACCAACACUUCAAAAGGCAGAAAUGAACCUUUCAAUUAACUCCCACUUUGAGGCACAAAGUAUAAUGCAAGCCAUCAUUUGUGUACCCUUCUCUGGAUCGCAAAAAGAUGGUAUUAGGAAGAAUACCAAACCCACAUAUUCCUUAAUUUGCAGCUCCCAACAAGUAUAGUGUUGUCCACUACAUUAUCUACAACAAAUAUGAGUUUUUAAAGCUCAAAAUUAGUCAAAGAAGGAGAAGGAAAAUCUACCCCAUUUUCCAGGAAACAAGGUGAAGGAAGCUUUUGGUUAAAAACUUUCAAUGAAAAUUUUUGAAGAAAGAAAAUGUGAGAGAAGGAAAAAACAAAGAGUUUUAAAAACUCAAAAUAAAAUAAAUUCAUCAUAUCGAAUUAAAAGGAAUUGAACAUUUAGAAUUUAAAAAAUAAAAAAUAAACUUUAUGUCAUCUAUCAUGUGUUGGUCAUACAUUUAUUAUAUUUGCCACCGCAUAAAAUAUUUAACAUGAUUAGUGUUUUGAAGCAAAUUGUAAUGGUUUAUAAGUUUAGAUAUCAAAUUAGAUAAAAAAUUUAAACGUCAAAUUAAAAAAUUUCCAAAUUCAAGUAUCAAAUAUUAUAUUAAACAUAAAGAAAAACUUGCUUUUCAACACAAUACUAAACAAAUAAUUUUUUAAAGAAUUUAAUGGAUUUUUAAAUUUUAAGCAAACAAAUCCAAAAUGCUAAAAUUUCUAACUUUUGGAUUACUGUAAUUAGGCUAAAUCAAUUAUGUGCCAUUGUUAUUUAGCUUUUCACUUUUCUUGAAAUUGAUAUGGUUAAUACAACAAAUUCAAGUAUAUAUAAUAAUAAUUAUUAUUAUUAUCAUAAAUUUAAGCUUUUGAGUGAAGUUGUUAUAUAUAUAUAUAUAUAUAUUAAUUAGGUACUUAUUUUUUGUUUAUGUUAAACAAGUUACUUUUUUCAAUUACUUUGAGAAGCACUUGAUUUUCAAUUUCUUCUGGAUGUUGUUGCUGUAGAUUCCUUUUUUCAAUAAAUAUUAAAUAUAAUUAACUUUAAUGUAAUCAUAACUACUAAUAUUUAGAAACAAAUUAAGAAUAUAAGUUCCAUGUUUCUUGUGAUGAGUAGGUAUGAAAAAUUCUAGUCUCCCAACUGAAUGACCUUUAAUUUCCUACAAAAUCAACAUUAAGAAUAUAGCAACGUUAAAAGAUGAUAUGUCAUACAAUACAAUCGCUUGUAUAAUCAUUUGCAACACUUCAAAUGCAUUAAAAAUUGUAAGAGACAAAAAAGUCAAAGACUAUUAUCCAAUCUAAAUCCUCCUUUCUAAAAAUCCAACAUCAACAUCCACUCUUAACGUCGCAAGAUAUACAAAAUAUCAAUAAUCCAAUCCAACCAAACAUCAGAUCUAACUAUCUUUCCAUACAAAAUCAAAACAACCCAACAAAAAUAAAUCCAUUACAAAUAUUGGGCAGUUAUAAAAAAUUUACUGAUGUGGGUGACCGGAGGAAGUCGGACGUGACGUGAAAGGUUGGUCGGCUGGACAGGGACAGCAGUAGCGACGGAGGUGGGAGAGUGAAUAGAUAGGGACUUAGAAUUUUUUGAGUUAGUUGAAACAAAAAAGAGUAGUAGUGGUUUUUUUAAGUAACCCAACAACAGCGUUGAAAAAACAAAAUGACGUCGUUUUAAUCAAUAAAUUAAAUAUAUUUAAUGACAUUUGACAUUAAAACAUCGCGGAAAAGAGAUAUCUAUUGCAGCGUUUCCAACACCAAACGUCAUUAUAUAUCAGUUUAAAAAAUAAAAUAAUUUUUAAUUUAUUUUUUUAAUAUAUUUAGAGGCAUUUUCUUCAUUAUCAUUGUUAAUUAUACACACAUAAACUAGAAAUGCCGCUAUAUGUCAAUUUAAAAAUAAAUAUAUAUUAUCUAUUUUUGACAUAUUUAGGGUGUUUUCUCCUCAAACACCUUCACACUUAUGGCGGUGUUUUAUCGUUAAACACCAUUAUAUGUUAGUUUUAAAUGUAAUUUUUUUAUUAUUUAUUUUUGACAUAUUUAAAAGUAAAUGAUUCACACUUUGUAUAAAAAUUGUUCUAUGAUUUCGGCCAUUAACUUUCAUGGAAAUAAUUUCGUGCAAUUCAGAAUAACAUCUACUAUGGCUUUUAUUUAUAUAAACGUCGCUAAAUGUAUAAACUUGUGGUGUUUUUAACUAUAAAUGCCACUAUAGAUCGCCGAUAAUUCUAUGUUCUGUUGUAGUGGUAGUUGUUAUGGUUGUUUUACUUUCUCCAUAAUAGACUAGCUAUGGGUGAAUAGGAUUUUGUAGGGUUGUUGGACCUUAAACACGAAGCGAAAAGCCCCUGAACUAUUACUUAUUUAAGAGCAGAGAAGAAUCUUCAUUUUUUCUCCAUUUCUGAUAAGAAUUUUCAUCGAGAAAAGAGAACUUGUUUUGUUGAUUUAGAGAUGAAGAAACAAAGGGGUUGAGAAAAAAAAUAGAGAAGAAAAAUAGAGAUAGGGAGAAUGGUGAGAUGGAGAUUGUGAAGGAAAGGGAGUGGGAGAAAUGGAGAUUAAGAGGGAGAGGGUUGGGAGAAAUGAGUUUUUUAGUUUUUGGGUUUCCAACGUAAUUAGUGAUACAAAUAUGGGGCCCAAUUUUUAGCCUAAGAACAAGUUGGGCUUAACCUUCUACAAAGCCAAUUUGACAGGCCCAAAAGAUCAUGAAACUUGAGACUCAACUUGGAAGGAUUUUGAGCAUCCUUAGAGUUAAGCAAGAUUAUCAAGACUCUAAAUAUUGGUUUCAAGAAAACAAAUAUUAGAUUAUAUUAUGUUAAGAUUAUCAAUUAGUUUUUUUUAAUUUUAAUAUAAUUUGUAUUGAUUUUAUAUUAAAAUCAACCCAAUUAAAAACAACUUGAGAAAAAAAUACUUGUCAAGUGUUGAUUGGAUAAACUUUUUCAACUUAAUAGUGUUAAACUUAGGUACUAGUUUGUUUAACAAAAACAAAAUAAGUACCUAAUUGAAACAAAAAAGAUAUAGGUACCACAUUGAACUUUAAUGUCAAGCUCAAGUACCAUUUGGUACAUUAACCCUAUUUUUAUAAGCUUUUUAUUUUUUGCAAUAUUAUAUGAGUGGAAAAUGAUUUUUACUAUUACAAUCAUGAAUUCAAGUAAGGUUUAUUUAAUUAAUCUAACUUGCUUUAGAGUUUAGGAUUUAUUCAAGUAAUUUGAUAUUAACUUCAAGUAUGCUACUUUUAAGGUUGUUUCAUCCAUCCUCCUCUAUCGUUACUUCUCAUGUGAUGGAUCAAUUCAAAGGCGACCAAAGCAUUACUGGUUAUGAGUUGACCAAGCACAAAAGCGGAUUGCAUUGGAGAAUUUUACAUAAACAAUGGAUGCAUAACCCUAUUUAAAUCAAAUUUGAAUAGUAUUAUGAUAAUAAAUUGAUUUAUAUUUUCACUACAAUAUGAAAAGUCAAAAUUGAAUAAUUCGCAAUUGUAGCAACCCGAUAUCUAGUGUUAAUGAAAAAUGUAGUGUUGGAAUCUUGUUUUCAUAAAUUGUGUCUAUAAAAAUUAAAUAAGGAUAUUUACGAGUUAGUGUAUAGAUGAAUUGAAAUUUGGAUGAUGAAUUGAAAUUUGAAUAAGUAAUUUAGCCAAAAUUUGAGUAAUUAAGGCUUAGUGACUAAAUCGUAAAAGUUUAAUCGCUAUAGAUUUUUAAUUAGGAAAAGGUUAUGGAACUUAAAUUGUAAUUAUCCAAAUGACCAAAAUGAUUAAUAAACCAUUAUUAAAAACAUGUUAGUGGACGGUAUUGAUAAUUGGUGAUUAAACUAAUUAAUUUUAAUUAAAACUAUAAUAAAUGAUUAUUUAAAGGUUUAAUUAGAUUAAGUAAAGCUUGAUUAUUCAUAUAAAAGGGAGCUUAGUGGAAGGAGAGAUGAUAAUUCAUCUUCUCCAAUCGGCCAAAGUAGAAAACCUAAGAGAAAAAUACUAUUUUUUGGAAGCUUGAAGCAUUUGACCCCUAAUUCCAAGUAAGUCCCUAGCCAUUUUUAUAAAUUUUUAUAGAUUUGAGGUAAUGGGAGCUUGAUUUAGCUAGCCCAUGUACUAAUUUGUAAAAAUAUUAGAAAUUGUUGAGAAUUGAAUGAAAUUGGUGUGAAAUUGUUAGAAAUUAAGCUUAGUAUAUAAAAAGGACUAAAUUGCAAAAAUUAAUUGUUAGUGUCGUAUAUUAGGGACCAAAUUGAGUAAAAUGAAAAAUGUUAUGAAAUGUUGAUAGGAAUAGAAAAUAGAAGAUCCCUUAUGAAUUUUGGUGAAAUUGGAUUCUAAUCCGAGGCCCUGAAUUGAAAGUUAUGUUUAUCCUAAUUUUAGGGACUAAAUUGAAUAAAUUGUAAAAUAUGUGUAAUUUAGUAUUUGAUUUUGAAUUGUUCGGAAAUUGAUUGUAUGAUGUUUUCUGAUUAUUCAUAGCUAACGACAACACCAAACAGUCGAGAGGGAAAGGAAAAACAAAAAUCGUUGACGAGUGACGCAUGAAACCUUAGUUUGUACUUUUAUGAUUCGGGAUAGAAAUAUUUGAUUGUAUACACAUAUUUAUUGAUUGGUGAGUCAUUGAGGUGAGUCUAUUGUGAUAAUGUGAAAUGUUUUGAUUGAAUUUGAUAUGGAACAUCGAUAUAGGAGACAAAAAUGAAAAAAAUGAAAAAUGAUAUGUAAUACUUGAAUUGUGAUAUAUGAAAUGAAAAUUGAGUAGAUAUAUAUGGUAUGACAUGGAAAACAUGUAUUUAGGUGAUGAUUUGAAUUGUGAUAUGCAUAUGAUUGAAAAUGGUAUAUGUAGUGAAUUGUAUAUAAAACUGAACAUUAGUACCCUAUUAACUAGUCGGGUUAAGUUAGAUAUAGUUGGCAUGUUAUAGAAUUGGAUUGUGUACAAGUUUAUGUGCUUACGUGCCAAGAUGCGCUUCGCUUGCCACUAUGCACUUCCUGUGCCACCAUGCACUUUACGUGCUAGUUUCCUUUACUUCGAUUUAUAUGAUAAUACACUUCAGUGCCAGUCUAGUGUGUUGGUUGGACAAUCCGUGUAUUGUCUAAAUCUAGUUAGGUUAAUAGGGGGAAUUAAUAAUAAGCUCGAUAACUUAUCCCGAAAUGAAUUGGUAUGAUACUUGAGAAUUGAAUAAGUUCAUGUAUAAAUUGAAAUGAAUAAAGUAUGUAUCUUAUUACGCAAAACAACUAAAAAUGAGCCUUGAGGGUCGAAGUGAAUGUGAAUGAAUUGGUAGACUCCAGGAUUAGAUUGAAUGAUAAGUAUAAGAUAAGUAAAUGAAUUGAUCAUGAAAAUUUGAUUGAAGUGAUGCCUUUGACAUGUAUGUAUUUGUGUUAUUUCUUGAGUAAGUAUAAGUUCUAAUUGAUACUUGAAAGGUAGGUAGCAAAAGAAUGGAUUUGUCACACCCUAAUUUCUUUAAACCCGAAAAUUUAAAACAUUUAUGAGUUAAACUGAAAGAGUCUACAAACUGGCGGUCUAUAUUGAAAAACCAGGAAAAAUGAGGAAUGAAAUGAGAUAUGGUUGAAAACCAAGUCUAGUUCGAUUGGAUUAGAACUAGUUGGUCCCUUAAUGGAGGACAAAAUGAUUAUGGAUGAAUGGUUGUGAUAAGGUGAAAGGCCAAGCAUGAGAGGCUAUAUAUAUAGUUGGGGAAUAACUUCAUAGGGAGGAUUCAACUCUAUAUUAUUUCAUUGUCAUCUCUUCUUCAUCUUCUUCCUAAGUUGCUUUGAAGAAGAGACGAUUAAGGGAAGCUCUAUAUGGAGCGAUAAUCAUGAGGUUUAAGUAGGAAAAUAGAAUCCAGCAAGCUACUGUUAAGAUAAUGGGAAGCUCUGGCAUCAGGAAAAGCUAAGCUUAAGAAACUAAGGUGUACCAGUGAGUUUCUAUACUCAAACCCAAAACUAGAAAAGUUUAAUGCAUGCUUUCAAAAGUUUAUAAGUAUCCUCCAUACUAGUUUAGAAUGCACGAUAAAGAGAAAUAAUAAAAGGGAAUCAAUGACGAGUUAGACGAAGUUAGGAAUGAGAAAAGAUAGAGUAAUUCUUUUAGAUACCGCUAUACGAUAUUGUUGAAUGCAAACUGUGUUUUGUAAAGCUCUGGGUCUUGCAGAGAGAACAUUGCGGUGUUUGAGUAUCAAUGUAUAGAAUGGUGAAAUGGAGGAAUGGAUGGAAUGAAAUAGCAAGAGUAAAAAUCAUGGCUAGGCCAUGGGACCAGUCGGAGGCUAUAGCCAAACCUUAGUAAGACCAUAUCUAAAAGACGCUAUAGCAUUAGGAUAAAAAUGAGUAAGACCAUGGUUGAAAGAUGUUUUGGCAUCAUGGUAAAUAGCACUAAGACGAUAGUUGAAAGACACAUGAUAUCAUUUAAUAGUCCAUUGAGACAUUAAACACGAGGAAUAUGAGGUUAAGGCCAUAGUUGGACUAUGAUAACCCAAGUUUUAAUAUCCCGAAUUAGGGCCUAAUCGAAAUAGUGGUUUCGUGACAAUAAAUCCGAGAUAGAAAUAAUUAUUUUAUAAUUAUUUUGAGGUUUAUGAUAUGAUUUCAUGAUUGUGUGAAAAUUUCGUGAUGAAAUUCUAUGCCUAAAGUGCUUAAAUUGAAAGUAGGGACUAAAUCAAAUAAGUUGCAAAACUUGCAUUCUAGAAGUUUUUAGUAUGAAAUUGUUUUGGAAUAUUAAUGAGGAGGUCUUAAAUAGCAAUUUGACCAAUUUUAAGUUCAUGGACAAAAUUAGGACAUGGAAGGAAUUUUUGGAAAGUUUAGUAGUAAGGGUAUUUUGGUCAUUUAGUUAUUAAAAUGAAUUAAAAACAAAAUUAAAAGCCAAUUUUUGUCCAUCUUCUUCAUUAGGCUGAAAUUUCAAGGGUUCUCCAUAGCUAGGGUUUGUUUCAAGCUUCCAAGCUCCAUAGUAAGUGAUUCCAAGCCCCGUUUUUAAUGAUUUUUACGUUUUUGAGAUCCCGGUAACUCGAUAAAGCUUAUGUUAGCAAUAAUUUAACCUAGGGUUUAUAUUUGGAAAAAUACCCAUAGGUGAAAUUUGUGUAUUUUGAUGUUUUAUGAUAGAAUAUGAAGUUUUAAAUUAUGUUAGACAACUUGUACUACUCGAUUUUAAGCAAAAACGAGUAAAAGGGCUUAAUCGGUAAAAAUACCUAAUAGUCACAAGUACAUGUUAGAGUGAGAAUUUGAUGUUGCCAUAGAAGAGAAAAGUGAUCAGCAUGUUGUAAAACAUAAGAAUAAGGAAUAAAGUUUAAUCCCGAGCCUAGGGGCAAAAAUGUAAAUAUGCAAAAGUUUAGGGGUAAAAUUGUAAUUUUUCCAAAAUUUGAGUUAAAGAUUAAUUUGAUAAUUUGAGUAUUAAAUAAGCUAAAUGUGUUAUUUUAAAUUAAGAAAGACGUGGAAUCGACCUCAAUCGAGGAAAAGAAAAGAUUGUAGACUAAAUUGCAAAAUCUUUGUAUUUUGGUACCAAGGUAAGUUCAUGUGUAAAUAAUGUAGCAUAAUGGUUAUUUUUAAGUUAUUGAUGUUAAUUAUAUGUUAUGCUGAAUUUUAUUAUGAAAUGUAUGCUUUGUGGUUAAUUUCAAAUAAUAUGUAAAUUAUGUGAACUACUUGUUAAAUAUAAUUGUUACUGAGUAUUGAUUUCGGCAUUCUACGGAAGACGGCAAGGAUAAGUGUUCGAGGAAAAAGCCCGUUUGAACCUUAGGAAUAGAUUAGGAUACAAGUGACAUGUCACUAGGAUGGUUGAGCAUCCGAACUCGUUGAGUUGAGUCCGAGUUCACUUAUGGAUGCGAAUGUUCGAACUCGUUGAGUUGAGUCCGAGUUCGUGAGAUGUAACUAGGCAUUCGAACUCGUUGAGUUGAGUCCGAGUUCACUUGUGGAUGCGAACGCCCGAGCUCGUUGAGUUGAGUCCGAGUUCGUGAGAUGUAACUAGGCAUUCGAACUCGUUGAGUUGAGUCCGAGUUCACUUGUGGAUGCGAACGCCCGAGCUCGUUGAGUUGAGUCCGAGUUCGCUUAUGGGCGGGUUACAUGAUUGCUUGAUUGCAUAUAUGGCACUUAUGUGCAAGUUAUCCAUGUAUCCGAAUUAUAUUCCGAUGUGUUCAACGGGUAAAGUUCUACUCAAAUGGAGGAAUAUUCGAGAUGUAAAGAGACGUAUUGGUAAGUGAUGUGAAAUGGAUAUUUUAGACAGGUAUGUAUUUAACCCUCGGGUUGAGUAUUGAUACAACCACGAUAAGGUAAUAAGAUGAUGAAAAAUGAUUAAAAAUGUGAUAUGUGUUUUAGUGAUACAUGCUAAUGUUGAUUGGUAUGACUGUUUGUUAUGUUACUUAUUAUUUGCAUAUGAACUUACUAAGCAUUUAUGCUUACUCCCUCCUUCUUACUCAUUGUAGUUUUGGACAAGCCAGCUCAGGAGUCGGGAUAGGUCGAAGGCUCAAUCACACUAUCCGGAAAACUUUUGGUAAUGGCUUGUAAAUUUAAGUAUGGCAUGUAUAGCAAUAUACCUUUUUUGUGUAAAUGAUCUUAUGGUAUGGUGAUGGAAUGGUUGAGGAAAUUCUUGAUAAUGAUAAAUUAUGGAAAUAGUUAGUUUAGAUUAUAUUUGAUGUUAAGGAAAAUUAUUAAGAUACUUAGUGCAUAAAAACUCAUAAAAGGGAUGAAAUUUGCCAUAAACAGAAUACUGCAGCAACACUGACGCGAGUUUAAAAAUUUACUAAAAAUCAUAGAAAUUGAACUUGGUGAUGGACUGCAUAUCAAAUUGAAGCUUAUUAUGUCUAGUUUCACAUGAAACAAAUGAAACAGGUAAAGGAAUUAUAUGUUACAAGAUAUUUGAAUUUUAGUGAAAUAUGGUCAUAGCAGUUUCUGAAUCCCCUGUUCCAACUUUAGAAAUUCACCAUAAAUUGUAAAGAUAUAAUUAGGUAGUGUAUUUUAUAUUCUCAGAAUCCUUAUUUAGUCUAGUUUCAGGAGAAACAAACCUCAUAGUCAUAUGGAUUUUUUACAGAGAGAAAUGUGGUUCGUAGUAAACAGAGGUCAGACCAGUCAAGUCCUAAAAUAGGGGUAACUUUAACUAAUAAACUGUACUAAUUGGCCCAACCAAAAAUUCUAGAAAAAAAUUAGUAGAUAGGUAUAUGAGUCUAGAUUUAGGGAAAAUUUACGGAUCUUGAUUUCGAGCUUCGUAACUCGAGAUAUGAUUUUUCUUGUGACUGUGAUGCAAGUAGCUUAAAAGCUGUGAAUGUAGAAAUAAAUAAUCCAAAGUUCUAAAUAUGUUAAAUUAAGCUUAGUAACACCUCAUACUCGACUCCGGAGACGGUCUCGGGCGUGGGGACGUUACAUUUAGUGGUAUCAGAGCAGGUUUAGUCGGUUCUCGGACUACUUGUUGUAUGUACGGAUUUUGCUAUACAUGCCAUAUGUAUGAAUUGUGAUAGUGUGACGACUUCUGACCUUUUUAAAUGAAUUUUUUUUAUAUAGUAAAUGGAUCCCGAUCCAGUUGUGGCAGAUGAAGUAGAGAGUAAUGCGCCAGCUCCGGCUGAAGGAGCAGCGCCGACUGAAAACCCACCCCUUACUGUUGGUCAGGGAGGAGGAGAAAGGGAUCGGGAAGCCUUUCUCCAAAUGAUGAGUGCAUGGUACACUGAGUUCGUUCGUACGAACCCAAAUGUACGACCUCCCCCACCUCCCCCAAUUCCUCAACCUGUACCCCCGAUGCCUCAAGGUAUGGAUAUGAUAAAAUUUCACAGAACCCCCGUUGACAGAAUUUGUAAACAAGGGGCUAAAGAAUUUAGAGCAAAUAUUGAUGAUGAUACAGAGAAAGCAGAGUUCUGGCUUGAAAAUUCUAUCCGGGUAUUUGAUGAAUUAUCUUGUACACCUGAAGAAUGUUUGAAAUGUGCUACAUUUUUGUUGAGAGAUUCAGCCUAUAAUUGGUGGAAGACUUUGAUUUCGGUGGUACCGAAAGAGAGGGUAACCUGGGAAUUCUUUCAAGAAGAGUUUCGGAAGAAAUAUAUUAGUGAAAGGUUUAUUAAUCAGAAAUGUAAAGAUUUUCUUGAGCUGAAGCAAGGUAAUAUGACAGUCUCAGAAUAUGAAAGAGAGUUUGUUCGAUUGAGUAAGUAUGCCAGGGAAUAUGUUCCUACAGAAGCCAAGAUGUGCCGACGAUUUGAAGACGGGUUCAACGAAGACAUUAAAGUAUUUGUCGGGAUCCUUGAACUAAAAGAAAUGGUAGUACUGGUUGAUCGAGCUUGCAAGGCUGAAGAACUUAAAGAAAAGAAAAAGGUAGAGGCUGAGACUAGAAACUGGAAGAAAAGACCGAUGAGUAGUUCAUUUUCACAGCAACCUAGAAAGUCAAGGAAUAUGAAUCCUCGUUCCCAAGCUUCAGCUGGACAAUCAUAUGGGAAUUAUAAGAAGCAAAAUGUGGGUCCUAAAUCUCAGAAUACUUCUGCAGCCAGUGUAGGGAACUCGAGAUUUGUUAAACCCGAGUGCCAGCGGUGUGGUAGAAAUCAUUUUGGUCCGUGCAGAGUAAAUGAAUAUUUUCGAUGUGGUUCUCCGGAUUAUUUUAUUAGAGACUGCCCAGAGAGAGCUGAGAGAGAAAAAUUUCAGAAUGUAAAAGUUAGUGGUGCAGACUCGAGGGGAAGGUAUCCGAGAAUAGCUGAAAGUGAAACAAGCAGUAAGAAUGUAGCCAGGGAUGCACCGGUUAGACCUGAAGGAAGGGCUCCGGCUAGAGCUUAUGCUAUUAAAGCGCGUGAAGAUGCUUCCUCACCUGAUGUGAUUACCGGUACAUUUUCUCUCUAUAAUGUUAAUGUUAUUGCUUUGAUUGAUCCCGGUUCUACUCAUUCAUAUGUGUGCAUGAAAUUGGUGUCUAGUAUGAAUAUACCUGUUGAGAACAUAGAAUUUAUGAUUAGAGUGUCGAAUCCGUUAGGCAAAUGUGUGACUAUUGAUAAAGUAUGUAAGAAAUGUCCUUUAAUGAUUCGGGAUCAUUACUUUUCGGCCGACUUGAUGUUGUUGCCGUUUGAUGAGUUUGAUGUUAUUUUGGGUAUGGAUUGGUUGACAUUGCAUGAUGCUAAAAUAAAUUGCAAAGAAAAGGUUAUAGAAUUAAAGUGUGAAAAUGGUGAAACUCUGCGGGUUGAAUCAGAUAAAUCAGAGGCAUUGCCUAGUGUGAUUUCUUCAAUGUCGGCUCAAAGAUAUCUGAGAAAGGGUUAUGAAGCUUAUUUGACGUAUGUAAUUAAUACAAAAGAAGUUGAAAAGAAAGUUGAAUCAGUGCCGGUUGUGUGUGAAUUUGCGGACGUAUUUCCAGAAGAAUUGCCGGGUUUGCCUCCAAUCAAGGAAGUAGAAUUUGGUAUUGAUUUGAUACCGAGAACAGCUCCGAUUUCGAUUGCUCCGUAUAGAAUGGCACCAGCAGAGUUGAAGGAAUUAAAGUCGCAGUUGCAAGAGUUGACUGAUAAAGGUUUUGUAAAACCGAGUUUUUCACCUUGGGGUGCUCCCGUGUUAUUUGUGAAAAAGAAGGAUGGUCCUAUGAGGUUGUGUGUUGAUUAUCGGCAGUUAAACAAGGUGACAAUCAAAAACAAGUAUCCGUUGCCAAGAAUCGAUGAUUUGUUUGAUCAGCUAAAAGGAGCGACAUGGUUUUCAAAGAUUGACUUGAGAUCUGGGUAUUACCAACUGCGGGUAAAGGAGUCGGAUGUGCCUAAAACUGCUUUUAGAACAAGGUACGGUCAUUAUGAAUUUUUAGUUAUGCCAUUCGGGUUGACAAAUGCUCCUGCUGUGUUUAUGGAUUUAAUGAAUCGCAUAUUUCGGCCAUACUUGGACAGAUUUGUUGUGGUGUUUAUAGAUGAUAUUUUAAUUUAUUCAAAAGAUGAGACAGAGCAUGCUGAGCAUUUGAGGAUAGUUUUGCAAACUUUGAGAGAUAAGCAGCUGUAUGCUAAGUUUAGUAAAAGUGAAUUUUGGCUUCGGGAAGUAGGAUUUUUGGGUCAUAUUGUUUCAGGUGAUGGUAUACGGGUUGAUCCUAGUAAAAUUUCAGCCAUUGUUGAUUGGAAACCACCGAAAAACGUAACUGAAGUUAGAAGUUUCUUGGGGCUAGCUGGGUAUUAUCGGCGGUUUGUAAAUGGAUUUUCUAUAAUUGCUGCUCCUAUAACUAGACUACUCCGAAAGGAUGUUAAAUUUGAAUGGACGGAAGAAUGUCAACAGAGUUUUGAAGAAUUGAAAAAGUUAUUAACUGAAGCACCAGUGUUGGUACAACCCGAAUUAGGUAAAGAAUUUGUGGUGUAUAGUGAUGCUUCUCUAAAUGGUUUGGGGUGUGUACUCAUGCAAGAAGGAAAAGUGGUGGCUUAUGCUUCGAGGCAGUUAAAGCCUCAUGAGAGGAAUUAUCCUACUCACGAUUUGGAAUUGGCUGCAGUGGUGUUUGCUUUGAAGAUUUGGCGAAAUUAUUUGUAUGGUGAAAAGUGCCGAGUAUAUACCGAUCACAAAAGUCUUAAAUACUUGAUGUCACAAAAAGACUUGAAUUUGAGACAGCGAAGAUGGUUGGAGUUAUUGAAAGAUUAUGAGCUUGUUAUUGAUUAUCAUCCGGGAAAAGCGAAUGUGGUUGCCGAUGCUUUAAGUAGAAAGUUGUUGUUUGCUUUGAGAGUUAUGAACACUCAGUUGAAAAUGUCAGAUGACGGUUCGAUUCUAGCAGAGUUAAGAGCAAGACCGAUGUUUUUACAAGAGAUUUCUGAAACUCAGAAAAAUGAUCAAGAUUUGCUAGCCAAAAGAAAACAGUGUGAAGCUGAUACGGGAUCAGAUUUCAGAAUUGGUUCUGAUGGGUGCUUAAUGUUUAAAGAUCGGAUUUGUGUACCGAAGAAUGAGGAAUUGAUUCAAAAGAUCCUACAGGAAGCACAUAGUGGUUAUUUCUCGAUUCAUCCGGGUAGUACGAAAAUGUAUAAUGACUUGAAGAAAAUGUAUUGGUGGAAUGGAAUGAAAAGAGAUAUAUCAGAGUUUGUGUCCAAAUGCUUAAUUUGUCAACAGGUGAAAGCUGAACACCAAGUACCUUCAGGAUUACUCCAGCCUAUUAUGGUUCCUGAAUGGAAAUGGGAUCGGAUUACUAUGGAUUUUGUUUCAGGAUUGCCAUUGACUCCGGGAAAGAAAGAUGCCAUCUGGGUAAUAGUUGACAGAUUAACUAAGUCGGCUCAUUUUAUCCCGGUACGUACGGAUUAUUCUCUUAACAAGUUGGCUGAAUUGUAUAUUAGAGAAAUUGUUAGAUUACACGGAAUACCAUUAUCGAUUAUUUCAGAUGGAGAUCAAGGUUUACCUCGCGGUUUUGGUAAAAGUUGCAAGACGCGUUAGGUACGAAGUUAAAUUUCAGUACUGCUUUUCAUCCACAAACUGAUGGACAAUCAGAAAGAAUAAUUCAGAUUCUUGAAGAUAUGCUUAGAUGUUGUGUAUUGGAAUUUCAAGGAAGUUGGGAAAGAUACUUACCGUUGGUGGAAUUUGCUUACAAUAAUAGUUAUCAGACGAGCUUGAAAAUGGCACCUUAUGAAGCAUUAUAUGGUCGUAAGUGUCGAACGCCACUGUAUUGGACUGAACUCAAGGAAAAUCAGAUUUAUGGAGUUGAUCUAAUAAAAGAAACUGAAGAAAAAGUGAAGAUAAUUCGAGAUUGUUUGAAAGCUGCUUCAGAUAGACAGAAAUCUUAUGCAGACCUAAAGCGAAAGGACAUUGAAUUUCAAGUUGGUGAUAAAGUAUUUUUAAAGGUGACUCCGUGGAAGAAAGUCCUUAGAUUUGGACGGAAGGGCAAAUUAAGUCCGCGUUUUGUUGGGCCGUAUGAAGUAAUUGAAAAAGUUGGACCGGUAGCAUAUCGGCUAGCAUUACCACCUGAAUUAGAGAAGAUUCAUGAUGUGUUCCACGUAUCUAUGUUACGUCGGUAUCGUUCGGAUCCUUCACAUGUAGUUUCACCGACAUAAAUUGAACUACAACCAGAUAUGACCUACGAAGAAGAACCGAUUAAGAUUUUAGCUCGAGAGGUCAAACAACUAGGGAAUAAAAAUGUUGCACUUGUGAAGGUGUUGUGGCAAAGGCAUGGAGUAGAAGAAGCUACAUGGGAAUCCGAAGUGUAACACCCCUUACCCGAGAUCGUUUCCGAAGUCGAGCACGAGGCAUUACUUAGCUUAUCUUACCAAUUCGGAGCAUAAAAACUAACGGCAUAACCAGAAACUCAUAAUGCCCAUACCUGGUUCUGAAAGCUGUCUUUGGCACAUCUGGCUCUUUUACCCGUAACUGAUAAUAACCCGAUCGGAGAUCAAUCUUUGAAAAUACUGUGGCACCUUUCAGUUGAUCAAAUAAGUCAUCAAUUCGAGGCAAUGGGUACUUAUUCUUUAUAGUUACCUUAUUAAGCUGCCGAUAGUCAAUACACAAUCUCAAAGACCAGUCUUUCUUUUUCACAAACAGAACUGGAGCACCCCAAGGUGAAUGACUCGGACGAACAAAACAUCUGUCAACAAGUUCCUGUAACUGUGCCUUUAACUCUUUUAAUUCUGUAGGAGCCAUACGAUACGGAGCUAUGGAAAUUGGGGCAGUUCCCGGAAUCAGAUCUAUAGAAAAUUCCACUUCUCUUUCUGGUGGCAACCCUGGUAACUCCUCUGGAAAUACAUCAGAAAAUUCACAUACAACUGGCACUGCCUGUAUCUUUGACUCAGAUACCUUAGUAUCCAACACAUACGCCAAAUAAACAUCAUACCCUUUUCUAACACACCCCUGAGCUGUCAUAACUGAAAUCAUAUCGGAUAAUCCCUUUGUCUGAUUAGAUUUAACCCAAAGUAAUUCUCCAUUCUAGCAUUUCAACACAACAUAUUUUUGUCUACAGUUUACUACUGCAUCAUGCUGAGUUAACCAAUCCAUGCCCAAUAUCACAUCAAACUCAUCAAAAGGCAAUAACAUCAAGUCAACCGGGAAACAAAUACCUUUUACCAUCAGUGGACAAUUUUUACAAACUUUAUCCACUAUCACAAACUGGCCCAGGGGGUUCGAGACUUUAACCAUAAAUUCAGUAGGUUCAACAGACAAAUUUUUAACAAAUGCUAAUUUUGUGCAUAUAUAUGAAUGUGUAGAGCCAGGAUCAAUUAAUGCAAUAACAGUAGUAUCAUAGAGAGAAAAUGUACCCGCAAUUACAUCAGGAGAGGACGCCUCUUCACGAGCUCGAAUAGCAUAUGAUCUUGCAGGUGCUCUAACAUCUGAUCUAACCGCUGAAUCUUUGAAUGCACAACUGAUGGUUGUUUAUUAUUCAGAGGCAGAGUAUGUGUACCGAAGAAUUCAGAACUUGUACAGAAGAUUUUACACGAAGCACACAGUGGUAUUAUGUCCGUACAUCCGGGAGGUAAUAAAAUGUAUAAUGACUUGAAAAAAAUGUAUUGGUGGCCGAGUAUGAAACGUGAUAUCUCUGAGUUGUUCCAAUCUGAAAUUCUGAAUCAUUACUUGACUCACAAUGCACCCGUUUAGCCUGUAAUUUCUCAUCAUUCCUCUGAGCUUCACAUAUUUGUUGAUGAAAUGUCGAUUUAGCUCUAAUUUAAAGUUUCAUAACAAUUGGACACCUCUAACAUGUAGAACUCAACUUUUGCACUUUUUACAAUUUAGUCCUUUUGACUAAAUUGAGUGCCCAAACGUCGAAAUUUUCGAACGAAAUUUUCAAAAAAUCAUUUUGUGAAAUUGUAGACCAUAAAAAUAUAAGAAAAAUAAAAUUUUUCUCAUCGGAUUUGUGGUUCCGAAACCACUGUUCUGAUAACCUCAAAUUUGGGCCAUUACACGAAGAAACUAUGAGAAAUCAAUACCCACAUCUGUUUACCGGUAAGAUUUUCGAGGACGAAAAUCCUUAAAGGGGGGGAGAGUUGUAAUAUCCCGAAUUAGGGCCUAAUCGGAAAGUGGUUUCGUGACCAUAAAUCCGAGAUAGAAAUAAUUAUUUUAUAAUUAUUUUGAAGUUUAUGAUAUGAUUUCAUGAUUGUGUGAAAAUUUCAUGAUGAAAUUCUAUGCCUAAAGUGCUUAAAUUGAAAGUAGGGACUAAAUCGAAUAAGUUGAAAAACUUGCAUUCUAGAAGUUUUUAGUAUAAAAUUGUUUUGGAAUAUUAAUGAGGAGGUCUUAAAUAGCAAUUUGACCAAUUUUAAGUUCAUGGACAAAAUUAGGACAUGGAAGGAAUUUUUGGAAAGUUUUGUAGUAAGGGUAUUUUGGUCAUUUAGUUAUUAAAAUGAAUUAAAAACAAAAUUAAAAGCCAAUUUUUGUCCAUCUUCUUCAUUAGGCCGAAAUUUCAAGGGUUCUCCAUAGCUAGGGUUUGUUUCAAGCUUCCAAGCUCCAUAGUAAGUGAUUCCAAGCCCCGUUUUUAAUGAUUUUUACGUUUUUGAGAUCCCGGUAACUCGAUAAAGCUUAUGUUAGCAAUAAUUUAACCUAGGGUUUAUAUUUGGAAAAAUACCCAUAGGUGAAAUUUGUGUAUUUUGAUGUUUUAUGAUAGAAUAUGUAGUUUUAAAUUAUGUUAGAUAACUUGUACUGCUCGAUUUUAAGCAAAAACGAGUAAAAGGGCUUAAUCGGUAAAAAUACCUAAUAGUCACAAGUACAUGUUAGAGUGAGAAUUUGAUGUUGCCAUAGAAGAGAAAAGUGAUCAGCAUGUUGUAAAACAUAAGAAUAAGGAAUAAAGUUUAAUCCCGAGCCUAGGGGCAAAAAUGUAAAUAUGCAAAAGUUUAGGGGUAAAAUUGUAGUUUUGCCAAAAUUUGAGUUAAGGAUUAAUUUGACAAUUUGAGUAUUAAAUAAGCUAAAUGUGUUAUUUUAGAUCAAGAAAGACGUGGAAUCGACCUCAAUCGAGGAAAAGAAAAGAUUGUGGACUAAAUUGCAAAAUCUUUGUAUUUUGGUACCAAGGUAAGUUCAUGUGUAAAUAAUGUAGCAUAAUGGUUAUUUUUAAGUUAUUGAUGUUAAUUAUAUGUUAUGCUGAAUUUUAUUAUGAAAUGUAUGCUUUGUGGUUAAUUUCAAAUAAUAUGUAAAUUAUGUGAACUACUUGUUAAAUAUAAUUGUUACCGAGUAUUGAUUUCGGCAUUCUACGGAAGACGGCAAGGAUAAGUGUUCGAGGAAAAAACCCGUUUGAACCUUAGGAAUAGAUUAGGAUACAAGUGACAUGUCACUAGGAUGGUUGAGCAUCCGAACUCGUUGAGUUGAGUCCGAGUUCACUUAUGGAUGCGAAUGUCCGAACUCGUUGAGUUUAGUCUGAGUUCGUGAGAUGUAACUAGGCAUUCGAACUCGUUGAGUUGAGUCCGAGUUCACUUGUGGAUGCGAACGCCCGAGCUCGUUGAGUUGAGUCCGAGUUCGCUUAUGGGCGGGUUACAUGAUUGCUUGAUUGCAUAUAUGGCACUUAUGUGCAAGUUAUCCAUGUAUCCGAAUUAUAUUCCGAUGUGUUCAACGGGUAAAGUUCUACUCAAAUGGAGGAAUAUUCGAGAUGUAAAGAGACGUAUUGGUAAGUGAUGUGAAAUGGAUAUUUUGGACAGGUAUGUAUUUAACCCUCGGCUUGAGUAUUGAUACAAUCACGAUAAGGUAAUAAGAUGAUGAAAAAUGAUUAAAAAUGUGAUAUGUGUUUUAGUGAUACAUGCUAAUGUUGAUUGGUAUGACUGUUUGUUAUGUUACUUAUUAUUUGCAUAUGAACUUACUAAGCAUUUAUGCUUACUCCCUCCUUACUCAUUGUAGUUUUGGACAAGACAGCUCAGGAGUCGGGAUAGGUCGAAGGCUCAGUCACACUAUCCGGAAGACUUUUGGUAAUGGCUUGUAAAUUUAAGUAUGGCAUGUAUAGCAAUAUACCUUUUUUGUGUAAAUGAUCUUAUGGUAUGGUGAUGGAAUGGUUGAGGAAAUUCUUGAUAAUGAUAAAUUAUGGAAAUAGUUAGUUUAGAUUAUAUUUGAUGUUAAGGAAAAUUAUUAAGAUACUUAGUGCAUAAAAACUCAUAAAAGGGAUGAAAUUUGCCAUAAACAGAAUACUGCAGCAACACUGACGCGAGUUUAAAAAUUUACUAAAAAUCAUAGAAAUUGAACUUGGUGAUGGACUACAUAUCAAAUUGAAGCUUAUUAUGUCUAGUUUCACAUGAAACAAAUGAAACAGGUAAAGGAAUUAUAUGUUACAAGAUAUUUGAAUUUUAGUGAAAUAGGGUCAUAGCAGUUUCUGAAUCCCCUGUUCCAACUUUAGAAAUUCACCAUAAAUUGUAAAGAUAUAAUUAGGUAGUGUAUUUUAUAUUAUCAGAAUCCUUAUUUAGUCUAGUUUCAGGAGAAAUAAACCUCAUAGUCAUAUGGAUUUUUUACAGAGAGAAAUGUGGUUCGUAGUAAACAGAGGUCAGACCAGUCAAGUCCUAAAACAGGGGUAACUUUAACUAAUAAACUGUACUAAUUGGCCCAACCAAAAAUUCUAGAAAAAAAUUAGUAGAUAGGUAUAUGAGUCUAGAUUUAGGGAAAAUUUACGGAUCUUGAUUUCGAGCUUCGUAACUCGAGAUAUGAUUUUUCUUGUGACUGUGAUGCAAGUAGCUUAAAAGCUGUGAAUGUAGAAAUAAAUAAUCCAAAGUUCUAAAUAUGUUAAAUUAAGCUUAGUAACACCUCAUACUCGACUCCGGUGACGGUCUCGGGCGUGGGAAAGUUACAUAAGUAGUCUACUGGGACAAUAAACAGGGGGUUCUAAUGUGUAAAACCAUAGCUGAAAGAUGCUAUGACAUUAAAAGAUGAUUUGAUAGUAGAAUGAAUAAGACCAUAGCUGAAAGACACUAUGGCAUCGUGGAUAGUUCGACAGGAUAAUAAAUACGGGAUUGUCUAAUGGGAUGUUAAACACGAGAUUGUCCGACAAGACGAUUAACACUGGGUAUAUCGUGUAAGACCAUAGUUGGCAGACGCUAUGACAUCAUAGGUAGUCUAUCGAAACUAAAAACACGAGGAUUGCAGAGGUAAGACCAUAGUUUGACUAGGGCAACCAAUCGAAUCACUUAGGACGACAAACGUGUGAUUGUACGGCAUAAUAUCAUGGCUCGACUGUAGCAGCAUAAGAGAGUUCAUCGAAACAAUAAACAUGAUUGUGGAGUAUUAUAGGACAUAGUGGUCCGUAGUAGAAGAAUGUACUACGCUUAAAGGUAAAACAAAUAAGGCAUAUUACCAAAAAAAAAAAGUAAUCUAACUACUAUAUAGAAUAAGCGAGACUUGUUCCGCCAAAAUGGCAUGGGAUCUUGAUAGCCAUACUAAUGAAUGAACGUAAGUAAGACAUACAAAAUUUAGAUAAGGAAAGAGUUCGCCACAGACUAAACAAAUUGAGAACAUUCCCCAAGAACCUUAAUAGGGUAAGUUAGAAUGCUGCCUUAAUACAAUAAAAUUACGGAAAGAAGAAACCCAUGAUAGGGAUAAGUGGAAAGAAAAAAAAAGGUAAAGAAAGGAUAAGAACUGCGAGAGCAACGAGGCAUUCAGAAGAGCCGUCAGAUUGGCUUGAUGGCAGAGUAGAUGGUCCGCUAGAACUGCUUAAGAGAAACAUUCCCAGUAAGCAGGGAGUUUAUUGUAUUUACUAUUGUUAUUAAUUAGAAAAAUCCCGAUAAGAUGGGAUAUGUUUUGUGUAAUAUAGAAACUCACUGAGUUCGUUUGAACUUACAAGGGUUGUUCUAUGAAUGCAGGAGAUACAUGAUAAGAGACUCAAAAAGGGACCAAGCCAGAUUGCAUUAAGAUAAUGGGCAUUGAUAGAAAUUGUCAUGCACACAAGACAGGGGGUCACCUUUAGAAACUUCGCCAAGAGGGGCGAUUAUGAUGUAUUUAUUUAGAUUCCAUAGAGUCCGUAGUGCGAACAGUAAACUUUGUUUAAAAUUUAAACUGAUUGUGAGAUUAUUAAAAUUUUAGUAUGAAUGAUAAACUGGUUCAGUUGUGAUGCCCGUACCCGGAUCUAGAGAAUGAGUCGAACAGAGGUAUUACAGGAUUUGAUGGGAAAUAUUGAAUAAUUUAGCUUACCAUUUGGUAUAUGCUCAUCUUCAUAUAUAUAUAUGAUCAUACCAAGGUUGCAUUAUGAGUUCAUAUGUCUUAUGUCAUUCUACUUAUGCUAUAUUAUGAUAUCUUGAAUCAUGAAAGUAUAACUGAGCCCUAUUACUCAGCGUACGGUUUGUUUUUUCCGUGCGCAGGUUUAGUUUCUCCUCGAAGCUUCGGGAGUUGAAGUCAACAUCCAGACCACCAUUUUCGACUCAACAAAGUUUGUAUAGUUUGUUCAUUUUGGUCUUGUGGCAUGUACCUAAGGACACCUUGCUAAAUGUUUCAAAUGGCUAAGCUGUACAUGUUGUGAUCUUAUGCAAAUGUUUAGAAAUUGUGCUUGAAUAUGCUCAUAUAGUUGAUUUGGCGUCUUAAGGUUAAUGGCUAUGCAUUUGUUAGAAUUUUUGGUUUGUUUUAGAGUAUAAAUGGUUAAAGUUAGACUUGAUAGUUAAUGUUUUUGGAAAAUACCAUUUUGGUAUAUUUUCGCUUGAUAUCAAUUGGUAAGUUGAUGAUUUGGUUGUAUAGGGAGAUAUACAUGUGAUUUCAGGUCAUUUAAACUUGUAACAAGCUGAUUUUGAAAGUAACAAUUUGUCAUGUCGCGGUGACGAACCUCUGGCAUUGCGACGAGAAACAACUCAACGUCCUUGUUGUGACGACAUAACCUUGAAGUCACGGUGAACCCUUGUCAGAGAGUCAUGCCGCGACGAGGAAAUCCUCGAAGUUAGGACGUCAACUCAAGGUUUUGUAAUCUUUACUAUUUGAUUUAUUUCGACCUCAGGUUAGUAAAAGAGCUUUCGUAGGCUCAUAUAAGACCCAAAAAUGGUAAUUCAUUGUUUUAAUAUGCAUGAUUUGCUUGUAUUUAAAUGUAUAAUGAUGUUGACUUGAAUGCUAUUAAUUGUAGUUGCUCUGACAACGAAUGUGGCACCUUGUAACUUAGACUUGGUGAUUGAGUUAAGUAUCGAGGUGUUACAACAAUUGUCUGUAAUUUGAGAAACCAAAUAAAAAUGCUAAAAUAUAAUAUUUUUAAAUGAAAUAAUUUUAUUAUCUUUAUAAUUAUAAUUUUUUUCAAAAUAACAUAAAACAAUUAAAAGUUCUUUAAUUAUAUUAGAUUAUGGCACAUCCGGUAAAUUUGUGAAAAACAAAAGGGAUAAUAUAUCACAUUUGGUACAUGUAUUUUCAUAAAAUGUCCAAUAUAAUUCCUGUACUUUGAAAAUAUCUAAUGUGGUAUUUGAACUAUCAAUAUGUGUUUUAUUAUGGUAUUUUACUUUUAUAAAUGUCCAAUGUGGUACUUGUACUUUGAAAAUGUAUAAUGUGGUACCUAAAUUAUCAAUAUUUGUUUUAUUAUGGUAGUGGGUGUUAACACCGUUAGUAAAUUGCUAAACUAACUAAUAAAAAUUCGAAACGUAAAUUUUUUUUUUCAAAUCAUCAAGUUCACAUAAAUAAUAUAACAUUAUGUGAAAAAUCAAAAUAAAACUAAAAUAAUUAAAUUAAAUUAAAUUAAAUUAGAAAAAAAUAACAAAACAUAUUAUUAAUAAAAAAAAAAGCAAAUACUAAACCUACAUGAAAGUACUUGAUAUUAUUUAAAAAUAAAUUAAAAACAUUAUUUAAAAUGGAAAAUUUUUUGGAGAAGAUGAACAUUUACUUAAAGGGAGAAGAUGACAUUUUUCUAUUACGUAAGUUUAAUAUUUAUUUUUUAUUAACCAUAUGUUUAGUUAUUUUUUAAAUUUAAUUUUUCACAUAAUGUAAUAUUAUUUACGCGAACUUAAUGAUUUGAGAAAAAAAUUUAGGUGUCAAAUUUUUAUUAAUUAAUUUAACAAUUCACUAACGUUGUUAACAUCAGAUACUAUAAUAACACACAUAUUAAUAAUUCAAAUAUUACAUUAUAUAUUUUUAAAGUACAAAUACUAUACUUAACAUUUUAUGAAAAAUAUAAAUAGGUUAUCUCAAGGUAACAAAUGUUACAUUUGAUAAGAGUCUGGGUAUGAAAUGUGAGAUUUUAAAAAGUAGGAUAUUUUUUUUUUGAAAUUCAAAGUAAACUAAACUAACCGGAACCUUAUGUCGAUAAGCUUUAGCUACUGACAAAUCUCAAUUGGGGGUCCCCUCCACCCAUUGCCUUUUGCCUUCUGUCCACUCACUUCUCACGGGCGCCAACCAUCCCCCUCCCUUUCUCUCUCUCAAUCUUUUCACCUUUUUAUUUAUGUUUUUAACCCAAUAAGAAAAUCUCCAUGCUUCUUGCUACAAUUAUAACAUAAUCAUUUUUUUCACUUUAAACAAUCUUCAAUCUGAACACUUUGGCUGUAAAGGCAACCCCACUUCCUUUUUACAUUAUUUUAUACAUUUUUUUCUCCCUCCCUCGUCAUCAUUCUUUUCCUCUUUCUUUCAAAUAAUAAUAUUCAACUUCUUUUUUCAACAUUUAUUUUGCUCCUAUAUAAGUUUUGGACUUAUUUUUUAUAUUUUAAUUUAAUUAAUUUUAAUUUUUAUAUUUUUAAAAUUUUAAAGUUUCAAUCUUAACUUAAAUAGUAGCUGUUAAAUUUGUUGAGUACAAUUUCACUAUUAAUCUUAUACCGUGUUAUAUAAAGUGUUUCAUUAGCAUUUGGUAUCAGAUUUGGGUAUUUGUGUGUUGUUUUCUUAUGCUAUAUAAAGUGUUUUGUCAAUUUACUUAAGCGGUCUCUCAAAAAAUGAACAAAAAAAAUAAAAUAAUUUAAAAAAAAUAAAUAGUUUUUUUGGGUUGAAUUUCAUGUCCAAAAUUUUCAGAUAUGAUAUUUAUAACAUAAAUAGACUUCAGUUUAAUUUUCAUGAUUUUAGCACAUCUGGAACACCUUAAAUGAAAAAUUCAAGUUGUUUCCAUUGUUUCGAGUUUUCGGUUGGGUGGUUUAUUUUUAUUAUUCUAGCAUUAGGUUUUCUUUUAUUUUAGCUUUUCUUAUUCCAUUACAUAUUCUAACAUGUUUUCACUUAUUGUAUUAAUAGGUAUAAAAAGAGCUGUCUCUUUUUUCUCUACGUAACUUACUUCUAAGUUUUUCUUUAGCUUCUUAAAGCCUUAAGAUAACUUUAUUAGAUAGUGAUCUCAUAUCUUUUUUAAUACUAUUGAAUUUGAUUACUCUUUAAAAGGUACAAGCGAGAAAAUUUUUAACUUUUUUUCAUUGCCUUUUAGAGUUGUUUAUUUUUUUUAUUGUGAGUGUAUAAUGGUAAUGUUUAAAUUUUGUUGACAAACUUUUCUUAUUUGAGUUUUUUUUUAUUUCAACCACUAAUAAUGAUAUGCACACGAAAUAUUAGAGAAGAGAGUAAUCAGUUGUAAAAUUAUUUUUAUUAUUUUUAUUCUCCAAAUUUUGAAAUUUUUGCCAUUUCUUUUUUGCUCAGCAAAAGUACAAAAUCGGGGGUACAUCACUAAUCACCUUAUAACCAAGCAUAGAAAAACGAGGUUCUACCAAUGCCCAGUUUGGCAAGGGGUCAGCCAACCCAUUUGCCUCUCUGAAGGCGUGAUCGAAAUAUACGUUUUUAACAAUGUGAAUACAACAAUCAAUCUCACUAAAGAUGUUCCAAAACUUCCAUGGUCGAAUUUCAGAAUUGAACACCCAUCCCUCAAUACCUUUAAUGUAGCCACCGUAUGCAAAUCCAUGAACAUUGAACUUGACAGUGUUUUCAGCAAGAGGAUUCGAAGAAAUUCCGACUCUCUACGAAGGAAAGGAACUCGCAACAUCAACAUAGCUUUGGAGAGACCCGCCAACAUGCCUCUUUGGUACAACACAAUCCCUCCAAAAUAAUGAUCUCAGUUUACAAGAGAAAACAGUCUCUAAACCAUUCCAAGCUUGCCAUUCAUUCCUCAUUAGCCAAAUGAACCACAACGUAACCCCACACCCAAUCAUCCAUCUUUGUUUUAAAACACCAGCAUAACACUGGAUAAGCAUCUCUUUAGGUGAAGACGGCAUUACCCCCCCCCCCCCCCCCAAAACCAUUGGAAUAUCAUACAUGAGUAUACGAGAGCUAUAUUCUUCAUAUGUCUUACACCAACAGCAAGGUCAUUGGUAACACGCACAACUAUUGCACUAGUACUCUAUCUCUCAAAAACCACUUUGAAGGCAAAGCUAUCCUUUUUAACAAGCCAGAGAAAAUAUUCUACCUUUAGCCGCAUCAAGAUAAUCCAAAGCCACUCUUCCAUCACAUAACCAUGACCAUUGUUCUCUAACAAAGACUCCUUAAAAACACUCAAAUAGUUAUAUUUAACCCACCUGAUUUCACACUCUAUUCACGGAUUAAAUGUGGUCGAGUUUAUUACAUUAUAACAUGUUGAAUGAACAUAUCACAUCACUUAAAAGUAUCAUGUAUGUCCAUUUCCUUUAAUUCUCUAACAUACAAGACAAUUGUACAGUAAUUUUACCUAAUUCAUUCUCUCUCUCUCCAAUCUAUUUUUUAAUUGGCAAUGGAGGGAAUUCUUGCAUUUUUUGAAUUAUCUGAAUUGAACCCUCAAAUUUAUCUCAAAAUCAAAAUCCAUAAAAUAUUUGAAUUUGUAAAAAAUCAAUUUCACAAAUUUCAAUAUUUUUUAAAUAUUUAAAUCUACAAAAAUUAUAUAUAUAUAAAGUCAAAUUUAUAAACUUUUGAGAAUAAUAAAUUCAAAUAUUUAAAUUCGAGUCACAUUAUUAUUAACUUCGAAUAACAAAUAUCCAAAAUAUCUAUUCAUAUCUACAUUAAAACUACAGCAAUUGAUAAUUUUAAUUGUAUAAUAAGUAAUAUCCAAAUUUAAAAAAAUUAAAAUAACCGAAUCCACGAUUCGAUUUCUCAUCCCAAAUUUCUCCACGCUAUAUCGUAAGUGUAAUUUGUAUAUUUGAAUAUAAUAUAUAAUAUAAAAUAGAAAGGUGGUCCAUCUGAGUCUAUGGCUGAUGGCUGACUUGGAAAGAGAAGCCGUGUAAGAUAAGGUGAGAGAAAGGGAUGGGGAGGAGGAAAUAUUCUCUCCAGCUAGCUUUCUUUUUGGAGUUUUCUUCUGGGUUUUAACCCAAUUUCUAAACAAGCUCUUGUAUCCUUGCCUUUGAGUUCAAAAAAAUCAAGCUUUCUCUUGUUUUUAAGAUUUAAAAAAACACAAGAAACAAGAAAACAGAAUUGUUGGGUUGUGCUUACUUUGUAGUAAAGCCUCUUGGCUUUUUUAGUAUUAUCUUCAGUUUUUGAAGUACUACAAACAAAGCUGCUUCAGCUUGCGGUGUUUUGGUUUUUAUUUUGUUUAGCCACUUUUGGAUAGAUUUGCAGUGCUCCAUCACUUCAUCAAAUCACCAAAAAUGAUGUCUCACGAUGGGAUUUCCAAUUCAAUUCCUUCCACCAUCAGAGGGUUGACUCAACAACCAAAUCCAAACCCUAACCCUACUCUUAGUGUGAAUCCCUCCAAGAAGAAAAGAAAUUUGCCAGGCACACCAGGCAAGUCUGUCAACUUUCAUUCUUGUUUGAUUUUAUUUUUACAACUGCUUUCCUUGAUGGGUUUGGUUGUUUUUUUUUGUGGGAAUAAGCAGAUCCAGAUGCAGAAGUUAUAGCUUUAUCUCCAAAGUCUCUAAUGGUGACCAACAGAUUCCUCUGUGAAAUCUGCAACAAGGGUUUCCAAAGGGACCAGAACUUACAGCUCCACAGGAGAGGUCACAAUCUGCCAUGGAAGCUCAAGCAAAGAACCAACAAAGAGGUUAGAAAGAAAGUUUACAUCUGCCCUGAAAAGACCUGCGUCCAUCAUGACCCAUCGAGAGCACUAGGUGACCUCACCGGUAUAAAGAAACACUUUAGCCGUAAACAUGGUGAAAAGAAAUGGAAGUGCGAGAAAUGUUCAAAGAAGUAUGCAGUUCAGUCUGAUUGGAAAGCUCAUAGUAAGAUUUGUGGCACUAGGGAGUAUAGAUGUGACUGUGGAACCCUCUUUUCCAGGUAUUGCAAAUACAGUACAUAUAUAUAUAUGUAUGUAAGGUGUUUUCCAUAUGAUUAGUUUGUUGAGGAAUUAAAUGCUAACAUAUUGAGCAUUUAAUUUUAAUGUUGUCUGACCCAAAAGUAGAUAUAUAUCGGCUUCUUUGAUAUGGGUUUUUUUUUCAUUUUUUGUCAUGCAGGAAGGAUAGUUUCAUCACUCAUAGAGCUUUCUGUGACGCUUUAGCUGAAGAAAGUGGAAGGUUCACUUCGGUUUCAACGACGACUAUGAAUCCGUCAGCUUUUACAAAUGAUUUGACACACAUUGGGGGGGCCGAUAACUAUGAAACAGGCUUUAGGCCAGAGUUUGCUGCUGGUUCAGAGCUAGUCGACAAUGGUUUGCAAAAGCCAAGGCUACAAUUAUGGCUCGACCAAGCUAAUUCUCAGCUUAACCCAAUUGGUAUUCAAAGCAAUGCUAAUGCUUUCUUAGCACCAAAAUCUACAAGCUUGCCUGAAUUGGGAAUAGCUGCUGCACCAAUGAACAUGUUCGGUUCACUAUCACAAUCACAACAAUGGCUCAGCCAGUACCCACAGGCAUCAUUUCCAGGUGCCAACCUCUCUAUGUCAUCAGCAUUGCAAAGAGGACCAAAACAAGAAGAGAACAAGGGAGAUUUGUCUGAAUCGAUAACAUCUUUGUAUUCGAACAAUACCCAGAAUAGUCUCCGACAAAACCACACUCACAUGUCAGCCACUGCUCUCCUGCAAAAAGCGGCCCAAAUGGGAUCUACAAGAAGCAACCCUACAAUCACUAACAGUGGAUUAUUUGGGUUAAUGAGCUCACCCCCUUCAACAAUUCCGAGCCCCAUCAAUGACCACAACAAAAAUGAAGCUUAUUACAAGCUGUUUAAGCAAGCAAAUCAAUCUGAGAACAUAAACGAGGUAGUGAGUUCAUUGCCUUCAACGCAAGCAGCCAUCAUCAAAGAUGGGUCAUUUGUCAAUAACGCCUCCAUGAAGGCAAAUGAAAGACAAGGAGGCCAAGCGGUUGCAUCAAAGCUGAACACAAAUGCAAAUGAAGUGGAAGCAAGCUUAACCAGGGACUUCCUUGGUGUGGGAAGUCAAUCAAGCAGACCCUUCUUCCAGCAAGAGUUUGCCAAGUUUGCUUCAAUGGGCUCAGUUCAGCCAUGGAGUUGAUUCCAGUUAAGACUAGUUUGAGACAGAAGAGGUAGGUCAAAGGUGCUUAAUGGAGGUGCAUGCUAGCUUAAUGAAAAUGGAGAUGAGUGAUGAGUUUAUUAUACUCAGAAGAAAGGAAGCAGCAAGCAACGAGUCAACUCAGGAAGGGAAGGGGAGGGGAGUCUUGUGAUGGGACCACUCGACUGAAGAGAAAGAGACAUGGCAGUAUUUGGGCCCUCCAUGCACGUAGAGUUUUCACCAUUUUUUGUUUUGUUUUGUUCUUCUUAUUGUUAUUAUUAUUAUUAGUAUACCAGUCUAGUGUUUUUCUACUAGUAAACUUGUUUUAUUAUUAUUAUUAUUCUGAAAGCUUUUUUGAGAUUUUAGUUUUAAAUUUGCACUGUGUUUCCCACCCUAUUUUCAAAGCUUGACUGAAAUAAAAUUCGAAAAAUUACUAUGCAUGUUCAAGUGCCAUUUUCUAUUUUAAAAUAAGAAAAUAUAUUAUAAAAAAUCUCCUUUUGUUGCACGAAUGACUAGAUUACAUUUAACCUUCCAACUUAACCACAAACAUACAAAUAAGAACUGAGUCAUGAUACUUAUAUGAUGCGAACAGCAAAAAGUUGAGAUCUUAUUUUGAGAAAAGGAAAAAGUUUUCGCACUUCACGUUAUAAAAUCGACUAAAAGCAUCCACAGAAUCUUGUGUGUAUUCAUCACUUGGUCAUAUUAGUAGAAAGGGAAUAAUCAACUUUACUCUUUUACAAAUAAAUAAACCUGCUGUGUUUUACUUAAUAUCUAAAUCUUUCUACCAUUUAACAAUAAGACUGAUGACAUCAAAUAAUUUUUCUAAAUGAUGUUGCUUUCUCCUCUCGUUUAGAUCAAUAAAAAAAAAAUGUUUUUAUUGGUUUCAGUUUAUUUGGCAGAUACAAAAUUUAUACCAGAAGAGUGUUGAAGAAUUCCAACUAAAACUUGAAUCAUUAAUAGCAUAGGAUACUUUAGGAAAAUUGGUAGGCCAACGAAUCUGGCCACUUCCAUUCAAUUCUCGCUCCAUGCACCAUGUUUCUAAAUUAUACUACAACUAAUAUUCUUCAGAUGUGGUUUUUUUUUUUAUUUUAUCAAAUAUUUUUGAAUUUAACGUUUUUGUUUUUUUCAAUAUGAAACGCACGAUGAUGUAAGGAAUUUUGUUUAGGGAAUUAAUAAAAUUUAGAAAAAAAAAAGGUAAAGCUAAAAAUAUUUACAUUAAAUUGUUUAUUUCAAAAGUUUUUUCAUUUAAUUAAAGGCUUAAAAAGCUUAAAUUUAAUAUUUUACUUUUUGAAUAGUUUAAAAUAAUAAUUCUAACAUCCAGGAGUAGACCUAUUCAUAGUUUGAGUUACCCGUUCGAAAUUUGGGAGGGUUUUGACAAAAAUAUUAAGCCCAAAAACAGAGCUUGGGGAAAAAAAAUUAGGCCAUUUUAAAUUAUGGUUCAGGAUCGGGCUUGAACAUUCAAGGCCCAAGCUUGAGCCUAGCCCAACCCAGUCUGUUUUUAAGUUUAUGAUAUUUUAUAUUAUGUUAUUUUUAUAUAUUAAAAAAAUAAACCUAUACUAAAUAUAUAAUACUACUCUAACAUAAACAUUAAAAUAAUGUUAAUAUGACUAUAAAAAUGUUCAAUAAAUAAAAAAACUUAUAAAAUUUUAUUAAAUAUUAAAAUAAUAUAAUAUAAAUAUUUUUUUAAAAAAAUUAAAAAAUUAUGGGUGAGACUAAAAUUAGUUUGGGUUAGUCUUUUAUAAAUAUGAGCGGGUUUGGGUAAAUUUUUAGGCUCAUAUUUCAGACCAGACCAGGCUUGAGCAAGUAUAAAGUAUGUUAAUAUCAUGAUUUGAUUAAGUUGAUGCAUCUCUAGUUUGUUUUCGAAUUAUUUCAAUGUUGCAGUUAUUGUCAAAUUGUCUUUUUUUUUUGUUUUGGUAUUACUUUACAGACAUGAUAUUUGUACAUUAAUUUAUAGCGAUUUUUUUUAUUAUUUGUACUAUAUGUCAUGUCUUUCUAUUAUUGUUGUUCAUGGUUCCUAUUAAUAAUAGUAUUUUCUUUAAAAAAAUUAUAUUUUUAUGUUGAUGUAUAAUACACAAGUAGUAUUUUUAUUAGGUUAAAAUAUACUCCAAAUUUUUGUAUUCUUCAUCUAUUUUAAAUUUAAUCCACUUUUUUAGUACAAUUGAAAAGUAAGAGUCAUGGCCAAGUGAGUUAAUAAUAGAUUUUGAGGCAAUGGUGGCCCAUUGUUUAGUCUCCUUCUGAGCUGUCGGUUGGCAUAUUUGCAUUGUUGGAUAAGGACUUCUGGAGAAGCUGUUGCAUAGGCUGGUUGGAGUUUCCAUCUUAGAAUGGAGCGUCCAAUAAUGAUAUCGUGCCAUUCUUGUUAUCAAAAUUAAGUAGGUUUCAACAAGUGACGUUAUCUUUCAGGAUAAGAAGGAUGGAACGAAGGGUUAGUAACCUAGUUUGGAGAAGGCUGGUCAUUUUGUAGUUGCUGGCCUGCAAGAAGCGCGAGACAUCAGGGCUAGAAAUAAUGGUUGCGCCACCGAUGAGGCCAGAGCCGUUAGACUUAUAGACAUCAAAACUCAGAAUCCAGGGAGGGUCCCAUUGAUCAAUGGUAAGUGCUCUUUGGGGAAGAGGGUGAGAGGUAUGAGGGGUCAAAAGAGCAAGAAAUCGACAGAACGAAAUUGUUGAUGAAAACGAAGUUACUUAAGAGGUUAGGGAUGGGUUUUUUUUUUUUAAAUGAGAUUAUUUCUGGUUUUCCAAAUGAUCCGGAGUGAACAAGUAGUGAGGGUAAUAAAAGAAUUAGUGUUAAGCCAUUAGAGAAGCCGUUCAGAAACAAAUAAGGAAUUAAAAGAUUUAGAUUAAAUCGUGAGGGGAACCAAAUUAAAUAACUCUUGCAAAAUGACAAUGAAAAAACCCUCUUAGCAACCAAGUCUUUAGUAGGGAGGCAACCAUUGCAGAUUUUUUAAAGAAAGACAAUGAUCUUGAAGGAAAAAAUUUUUUUAUUAUGAUUUACAAUAAUAGUGUAAAGCUUGAACAACAAACGCAACUAGUGUGUCUUGAUCUCAAGCCACACUUAGAGUGAUGAACACCCUUGACCAUCAAGCCUCACAUGGGGUUCAUCUUGAAUGAAAAUUUGAGCCUCAUAAAUUAUUCCAAGCUUUUACAGAUUAUCAGAAUGGGGAGAGGGUGAAUUCAUUUUGUAGAAGAGUUGGUAGACAUUUUUAACUAAAAAAAAAGAGACCAUUGUGGUCAAAUUUCCAAACGUUCCUGCCUUGAAUAGAAAGGGUCUUGUUGAGAAGGUGAGCUGCUUGGAUUGAAUCUAAGAGAAUCAUACUCCUGCUAAGAUUCCAAUUACAUUUUCUGAAAUUAAGAUAAGAGAGAACAUGAAAAUCCAAAUCAUUGCAUCUGUUCUUAAUUAGGAGAGAAGAAUCAAGGUUAUGAGAUAUUCUACAAUUAGACCUGCCCCUACUUUUAUUCAAGGAAUUUAAAUCAUUUACAUUUGAGAUUUUAAGAUGUAAUCUAAUUGGUAACAUCAUUAAGCUUAUUAAAAUGUUAAUUUUUUAAUUACAUGGCUAUCAAGUGAGUAUUUUUUUAUUUUAAAAUAUCACACUAACAAAUUUAAUAAAAAAAAUUUAAUGAGAUUAACAAUUGGACUUGAAAUUUGAAAUUUGAAAAAUAAAUGAACUAAAUUCCUAGAAAUAACGGAAAAGUAUUAAAUUCUAAAUUUAUAAAAAAUAAAAAGACUUAUAACAUAUUUUAAUAUUUUUAUGAAGAUGUUAUUUGAUAAAUAAUUGAAAUAAUACUAAAAUUUAAAUUUAGAGUGAUUUUAUUUUCCACACAUAUAUUUCUCUCUUUAAAAUUUGGGUUCCUUCUGUUUCCUUAAAUCUUCAACAUCACAAAACUAUUCAAUUGGACUUUACUUCGGCUCGACACUCAAAAACCUAGUUUUGAAAGAUUGAAAUGUUUGGUCUUGUUAACAAAUUAUCACUCACUUAGAUCUCUCUUUGGAUCACUGUUGUUUUAACCUUAUCGGAAGUAAACACACCGCCUAUCUAAAUAUACUUUUAAUUGAAAUUGAAUCUGAAUCGAGUCCACACAUUACUCUUUCCUCGGCCCUUUAUUCUUGACGGUUGAAUCCAUUGUAAAGUCCUUUGUUUCAAAGCAACAAACUUUAGCUCUAUCUUUUUCUUCAAUUGGGACUUUCCAAUAUGAAAAAGAAAAUAUAUUUUUCUUGCAUCCGCCCCAGAAGUGGCCCUCCUAAAGUUCCAUUGGUUGGUUGGUUGGUUUAAAAUUUGAAGGUUUAGGUUUUCUUUUUUCUUUUUAAAUUAUUAUUUACAUCAUUCCUAAAUUAUUUUUUUUUUGAAUUCUUUUAUUUUUUAAAUUAAAAAUUAAUCUAUAUUUAAGCAUAAUCGAAUUUAAUCUUUUAAAAAUUAAAAUAAUACUUAAUUAUUCCUUUUAUUUCUUUUCAGAAGGCUUGGAGAAAGAAAUGUUUUAAUACAUGAAUUUGGGUUGAAAAAUUGAGCAUCUUUAUAAAAGUGCUUUGGGUUUUAGUCGGUUUAUGUUUCUAGUUUAUAAUUGUUUUUCUAAUAAUGUUAUAUCCAAUGUUUAAAUAUGUAUUUCUCUGUACAAUAUGUUUUACCAUUAUACUCAACAUUUAUUAAUAAUUUAGAAAGAAUUUUUUUAUACUUAAUUCAACUUAAUUUGAAUAUGAAUUUAAUCUAAAUAAAAUAUGAAUAUUUGAAAAUAAAAGUUUUCAAAAACAUGCAAUGAUGCAAAAUCUUAAAAAGAGAAAGGAGGAAGAAAGUGCCACAAAAUUCACAAUUACAAUUGAGAAAUAAGAGAUAACAAAGAAAAUUUCAAAACAAAAAUAAAUGAAAUCAACAAGACAAACUCAAAAUUCAAUCUUCAUACAGAACAUAAAUUUUUUAAAUGAUAAUUAUUGAAAAAAUAAAAAAAUACUCGCCAUCUUGAUCACCAUCAAAAUCACUGUUUUCUUCUUUUCUCCAUUUUCAUGGUCACAAAGAAAGUGCAAUAACUAGAGCAGCAACUCCAAACAAACCAACAUUUUGCAAGGUGGCCGCUUUGGAGUUAUCAGCUGGGGUAACAUCGGGGCUAUCAGCAACGGUGGUAGCCUUCUUAUUCUUCGACUUUGCCGGUGCCGGUGCUGGAGCUGGAGGCCUAGGUGCAAAUAUUUGCAAUGGUUGAAGAACUUGAUCGAUUUGAUAAACAGCAAGCUGACCAUCAGUGUAAAUAGUGCCGGAAACACUGGUGUUUGUCAACCCUGUUGUUAUAUUCACGGAGUUCCCCGAAGUGGUGAUAUUGAGAGGGAACUUGCCAUCGCCACUAUCACCAGCUUGGGUUCUCAAAGGAUUGCUAAUGGUUUGGAACUGAGACGAGGUGAGGUAUGUUGGGACGAUGUGGAAUUGCACCAGCUCCACUUUUUGUUCAUCGGUGAGUGAAUUCAAUGUGCCCGAUUUAAGGCUGGAGAAAGCAUUGUCCGUUGGUGCAAAAACGGUCAUACCAUUGUUGGAAUUGUUGAGCUGACCGAGCAGCUGGUUGGCCACUUGAGUGGACUUUAGAAGACGAAUGAAGAGGGUGAAUUGAC
rnacentral:lncRNA from 1 species